rnacentral:lncRNA from 1 species
UUCAAUUGCUAUUAUAUAGUUUUAUUUAUUGGACUCUUUAUGUGCUUAGGGGGCAAUUAUUGUGACGUUUCCGUCUUCGCUAGUGGCGCAGCUUUUGGCAACUAAGUACUGUGAGUGGACCCCUUCUAAAAUUACAUGAUUUGAUAAUUUAAUUGCAUAAAUGAUUAGCAUGCCUACGGAUUUAUGAUUUGAUUUAUGUGAAGCCUGAUGAUUUAAAUAUAUUGAUUAUCGUCUCGUGUUUUGGUGAGGAAUUAAUUGUUAGCCUAUACUGAGCUAUAUUUCAAUAUAUCGUAUUUUCUAUAAAAACCAUGAACUGGUAGACUAUCUGACAGAUGACGAUAGGAUGCUAGAACAUGUUUUUGAACCCCUCUUUAUAGCGUAGACGAUAUUCGGUAACCUAUGCUAUGAAGUGGUUAUUUAAGAGAGACGUAACUAUUUGUGCGUACCUAGUGGACACUAUGCCGCCUGGGGCGAGGAUCUGGUGUUGGCAUGUAGGCCGGGAGAAAUAAUCCCUAGCGAAAGGCUGAGGGACACGGAGACAGGCAUUGGGCCGGGAGGGAGUUAUCUCUGGCUACGGGCACAGAGACUGAGGUGCAGGCAUUGGGCCGGGAGUUAUAUUUAUUCAGUGAUUUUUCUAGCAGCACACCGCGCUUACGAGACGAUUUACGAGACGUUUACUGUUUUGUUUUUCCGCAAUGUUAUUCCGCGAUAUGGCUUUUUGAGAUACUUUGGCAUGCUAGGAUUUUAUUAAAUCCAUCACUUAUUAUGCUAGUAGUUUUCAUUUAUAUAAACUUUGGGGGUUAGUAUCUUGAUAACUGUUUUAUUAUUAUUGUAUAUAUAAACUUGGUCCACUCACCUUUGUUUUGCGCCCCCAUUCAGGACUUAGAAUCAAGGCACCUAAUCCCGGCGUCAAGACACUUCUGCAGCAGCAUAUUCGGAUCCUCUCGAAUGUAGGACUCACUCCUUUAUUCAUUAAAUUUUAUCCUAAUUCUUCGUAGUGAUUAGGUUUAGUUGUAUGCUCUGAGCACGUUCCUAAACUGUUAAUUCAUUGUAUUUCAAAUUUCUAACCUUUAUUUAUUUCUUAUUCUUAGCUUUUGUAUCAAUUAAUGGCUUUCGUCACCUCCGGGUGUCGGCCAGCACGUGUCGGUCUUGGUAUUCGGGGAAUAUCAGGGUCGGGACGUGUCAUUAGCACUCCAAAAAUCUCAUUUGGCACUCCAAACUUUCUAUAAUUAGAAAGAAAAUUACACUUGUGCGAAUGUAGAAUAAGAUUUUUGGAGCGCUAAUAACAGUUCCCUAAAUAUGUCUUAACAAAUAUUGUACAUGGCAUUGACUUAGACUUUCGCAAAUAGACUUAUAAUUUUUGGUAUCUAAUAAAUAUCUAGAUUGAAAAUAGAUAUUUAUGAAUUUAAUCAUUAAAAUGCAUAAGCUCAAUUAUACAUUCAAGUUAGAUCAAUUCCUGAAGUUUUGGUCAACAAUAAAACUGUUUACCUAUGAGUUCACUUAUAAAACGUGCAAAGACGAUAUACUUUUUAACCACAGUUCUAUGUAUUGUGAAUAUUUGUCCGCAACUUUUGUGGCAUAUAGAGGCUAAAAGAUACUACGAUAUUAAAUCCAUAUAUGGUCGAAAUAUUUAUCAGUUUAAUCAUUAAAAUGCAUAAACUCAAUUACACAUCCAGGUUAGAUCAAUUCCCGAAGUUUUGCUCCACAAUAAAAACUGCUUAGCUAUGAGUUCGCCUAUAAAACAUACAAAGGCAAUAUACUUUUUAGCCACAGUUCAAUGUAAUGUGAAUUGUUGUUUGCAAAUUUUGUAUCUAAUAAAUAUCCACGGUUAAAAAUAUUCAUUGAUCUACCAAAAGUUAUCAUGGACGUACCUAUUUUUCUACCACAUAUAGGAAUAUAGAGGCUAGAAGAUUCUCAUUUAAUUGAAACAUACCAAACUCAUUAAACGCUCUAACCAGAAGCUCAUACCGAUUAUUAAGCUAAUUAGUGCUCUAGAAAUUUAGAGAUGUCAAAUGAUGAAGAAAAGGAAAAGGAAGAGGUUUGGAUGACUACGAAUGAGUAGAUGGGGGUGCAAAAUGACAAUCAUGGGAGAUGGAAGGAUUUUUUAAAGAGAGAGAGAAGGGGAUUUGCUCCAUGGAGAUGAUGGACUGGUUAGCAUUUUAUUUUUUAUUUUUAAGUAGAUUGAGUUAGGUGUAAAAAGAAGUUUGAUUGAGUUGAGUUUUGAUAAGUAAGGGCGGUUUCAAAAAUAAUGUUGGGUGUAAAUAGAUAAUGAUAGAUAAAUCAAAUACAAUGUGGAUACAAAAAGUAAGAUGUGUGUUGAGAUACAAAAUAUGGGUUCAAAUAAAAUUUCCCAAACUCUCUCACGGUCAAGUUAGUGAAUGAUUUUGGACUUAAGCAGUGGACAAGAGAAUUCAAGUGUUUAGAUUGUGUUAUCGGAGAUGAACCCUAUAUGGGUGUAUUUAUAUAGAGAGACAUUUUUAGGAUUGAAAAUAUCUAGGAAUAGAUCUUGCAUUGUGAUUACUUGCCGCACUCGCUAGUCCCUAGAUUGUUGGAAAUUCAAGACUUAAAGAUCUAAUGGUGUCCAUAUCUGGAUCAAAGCAUGGUUAUCUAGCGGAGUCGUAAAGACUCCGAUUGGUGCCCUGGAAUCGGAUAAUGGUGGCAUCACUAUCCAUCUGAUACAACUCCGUCCGCAACUGAUGAAUCCAUAACCGGACUUCUGAAGUAACUGUAUUCAGAUCAGCUUCAUUCUAAAAAAUCAUCGUCCACAAUUAUCUCUAACCAUUCAUUUGAAAGGCAAUCUGAUGCCCUUGAUGAUGGAUUGUUAUCCAAAGGCCAUUUGUUUUGCUCGACUGCGUUCACAUCAUUUGUUAGGCUGUCAGCCAUUAAAGCUUCUGACCCAAUGUAGCUUUUCGACAAAGACCCAAAAUUUCCAAAUGAGCUCUGAAUAUUUCAAUUCUGGAGCUUUAGUGUUCUGGGCUUCUUCUGCAACGGGGUCUUGCAAAGAAACAUGGUGUAUUUGCAUAGAGGUUCGUGACUGAAAUUGCAGUGAAGGAAAACUGAGUCUGUGGGUGUUAAUUGCAGAGCUUUUAAGUUGGAAAUUAGUCGGGGAAAAAGAAGGGGAGAGCGGGAGGGAGUUUGGGGGUUGUGGAAGAGAGAAGAUGGUGGAGCACAUGUGGUAAGCCAUUUCCCUCUCUGAAAUUGGGUUGACUCACUUUUGCCUUUAUAUUCAUAAUGUAUAGAUCGGAGUGUUCGUCAACUCGGGCCACAACCAACUAGAUGACCAACUGGACCGGAGUUGCUUGCAGCAGAAUUGGUGGGACUCGACGAGUUGUUUCUCUUGAUCUUUCCGAAUUUAGACUCACUGGCUCUAUAUGUUGGUAUAUGGUCCAGCCCAUGAUCAAUGUUCUAGAUUAUUCUAGUAAGCAAGAGAUGAGGCUGGAGCUUGCUAGACAAUUCUAGCAUGUUAUUAAGUUGAUGGAAGAAGCUAGAGAGUACUAGCUUCCUUGGUUGCAAAUGGAAAGAUCUAGAAGCUACAAGUAUGUGGCUAGUCUAGAUUUUUCUAUACUAGAGGUUUGAAGAAGGAACUAGAAACUAGUAGAAUGCCAAGCCCUCACCUAUAAAUAUGGGUGUGAUGUAACCAAUAGAGAACUAAGAGUGAGUAGCAAAGGAUCAAGUCCAAAGCUAGAGUUCCACUCCAAGAGUGAGAGUGAGAGUGUUCCACUACACAUUGUGUGAGUGAAGUUUAGAGUGAUAGAAAGUGUGUGUUAUACUUUCUUGUAUCCAUCAAGCCUUGUCUUUGGCUUGGUAAGACUACUCUUAUUGUAUUCAUCUUUUUCAUAUAGUGAAGAUUCCUUGUUUGGUGGACGUAGGCAUAAAUUGCCGAACCACAUAAAUUGUUGGCGUCCAUUUUCUACUUUACCUUGUGCAUUCUCUAUCUUGUAGUACCGACAUUCCUAACAAGUGGUAUCAGAGCCCGGUUGGCUCGUACUGCGAGAUGGAAGGAAGUGGCACUAUGAUCAAACUCACCAACUCCAAUUGGGUAACAUGGAAGCCAAGGAUGGAGGACAUUCUCUAUUGCAAGGAUCUGCAUGAGCCAAUUGAAGGAGAUGCCGCUAAGCCAGAGAGCAUGUCCGAUGCCGAGUGGAAGAAGAUGAAUCGCAAGGCUAUUGGCACAAUUAGACAAUGGGUGGACGAUAGUGUUUUUCACCAUGUGUCUAAUGAAACCAAUGCUCGCGAGUUUUGGACAAAGCUUGAGUCCUUGUUCGAGAAGAAGACUCCAGCUAAGAAAGCCUUCUUGAUCAAAGAGCUCAUCAAUGUGAAGUACAAUGAUGGUUUAAGUGUAGCAGAACACUUGAACAAUUUCCAGAAUAUCAUCAACCAGUUGGCUACUAUGAAAAUGACAAGCGCUCUUGUUACUUGGAUCCUUGCCAGACAGUUGGGAGACCUUUGUGGUGAGUAUAAGUAACUCUGCUUCUAAUGGUGUUCUUACCCUUGAUAAUGUUAAAAAUAGCAUGCUCAAUGAAGAAACAAGGAGAAAGACUUCUGGCACAGAUAGCAGCCAAGUAUUUGUCACAGAGAACCGCGGAAGAAGCAAGAGUAGAGGGCCUAGAGGUCAUGGCAGGAGUCCUAGCCGAUCCAAGUCAAGGUUCAGGGGUGCAUGCCACCACUGUGGCAAGGAAGGCCAUAUGAAGAAAAAUUGUCGAGUUUGGAAGAGAGAGCAAAGGGAAGGAAACAAUCAGAAGAAAGAUGAUACUGGCAAUACCACUGCUGUCAUAUGUGGUGAUGUACCAGAAAUAUUGUCUGUUGGUGAAUGUCUGCAUAUGGGCAACUCUGACAGAGACAUUGAAUGGAUCUUUGACAAUGGAGCUUCCUUUCAUGCUACGUCCAAACGGGAGUUCUUCAGUACAUACAAAGAAGGUGACUUUGGCAUAGUGAAGAUGGGGAAUGAAAGCUAUUCCAAAAUUCUUGGAAUUGGUGAUAUAUGUCUAAGAACUAAUCUCGGCUGCCAAUUGAUGUUGAAAGAUGUGAGACAUAUUCCUGAUAUACGUCUCAAUCUGAUAUCCAUCGGUACCCUUGAUCGACAAGGAUAUUAUCACCAUAUUGGCGAAGGAAAAUUGAAGCUUACCAAAGGCUUAAUGGUGGUAGCAAGAGCACGACUUUGUUGUACGUUGUACCGGUCAAAUGCCAAGGUUUUGAAAGGUGAGUUGAAUGCUGUGGAGGACUCAUCUCUAGACUUAUGGCAUAAGAGGCUAGGCCACAUAAGCGAGAAAGGCCUACAAGUUUUGGCAAAGAAGUCUCACAUUCCCUUUACCAAAGGAACGUCGUUAAACUCUUGUGAGCAUUGUUUAUUCGGAAAACAAAGAAGAGUUAGUUUUUCUGUUCCAUCUACAAAGAAAGGAAACUUGUUAGAUCUUGUUUAUUCAGAUGUGUGUGGUCCCAUGGAAGUCGAGUCACUUGGAAGAAAUAAAUAUUUUGUUACUUAUAUUGAUGAUGCUUCACGAAGGGUGUGGGUGUAUUUGUUGAAAACCAAAGACCAGGUGUUUCAGACAUUCCAGGAGUUCCAUGCCAUGGUGGAGAGGGAAACUGGGAAACCUCUCAAGUGCCUUCGUAGCGACAACGGCGGCGAGUACACAUCUCACCAGUUUAGAGAGUAUUGUGUAAAACAUGGCAUACGUCAUGAGAAGACAGUUCCUGGAACUCCACAACAUAACGGUGUUGCUGAAAGAAUGAACCGAACCAUCAUGGAGAAAGUCAGGUGUAUGUUGAGGACUGCAAAGUUAUCUAAGCAGUUCUGGGGUGAAGCUGUAAGGAUAGCCUGCUAUUUGAUCAACCGAUCUCCAUCAGUGCCAUUAGGUCUUGAUGUUCCAGAGAGAGUAUGGACUGGUAAUGAUGUGUCUUACUCUCAUCUGAAGGUGUUUGGUUGCAAAGCUUUUGUGCAUGUGCCCAAAGAGCAGAGAUCGAAGUUAGACUACAAAGCUACACCGUGCAUCUUUCUUGGUUAUGGCGGUGAAGAUUUUGGUUACAGAUUAUGGGACCCAUACCAGAAGAAGUUUAUCCGAAGUAGAGACGUGGUCUUUUAUGAAGAACAAACAAUUGGGGAUUCGGAUAAAGAGGCACAACCAGAUGGCGCAGUCAGAGGAGUUGAUCCAUUAGCUUCAGAUGAAGAAAGUCACGAUGACAUCCCUGAAGCAACUGCCAAUGAAGUGCCUGCAGAACCAGAUAAUGCUGAUCAGGGGGAGCCUGAUCAAGAUGUGCCAGACCAUGAGAUUGCUGAUCAGGUGGAGCCUAGUCAAGAAGAGCAGAUUCAAGGAAAACCCAAUCAGGGGGAGCCUUCAGCCCUACAAGAGAAUGAAGAUCAGGUCAGAAGAUCCAUCAGAAAUCGAAGACCGUCUACCAAGUAUUCUUCAUCAGAGUAUAUCAUGUUGACUAAUUAUGGAGAGCCUGAAACAUAUGAGGAGGCCAGAGCUCAUAACGACAGUGACAAAUGGAUGAAGGCAAUGGAGUCGGAGAUGGAUUCCUUAUCAAAGAAUGAUACCUAUGAGCUGGUGGAGCUUCCAAAGGGCAGGAAAGCAUUGAAAAACAAGUGGGUGUUCAAAUUGAAAAGAGACGACAACAUGACAAGGUACAAGGCUCGUUUGGUUGUCAAAGGUUUUGGUCAAAAGAAAGGAGUUGACUUCGAUGAGAUUUUCUCACCGGUGGUGAAGAUGACUUCCAUUUGAGUUAUCCUUGGUAUGGCAGCAAGUAUGGAUCUUGAGCUCGAGCAGUUAGAUGUUAAAACUGCAUUUCUCCACGGAAAUUUAGAAGAGGAGAUAUACAUGGAGCAACCCAAAGGCUUUGAAGUCAAAGGUAAAGAAAAUUUGGUGUGCAAGCUCAAGAAAAGCUUAUAUGGUCUUAAGCAGGCUCCGAGACAGUGGAAUAAGAAGUUCAACUCAUUCAUGGUGAGUAAUGGGUACAAGAGAACUCAUGCUGACUCUUGUGUCUAUAUCAAACAAUUUUCUGGAGGUAAAUUCAUCAUCUUAUUGCUUUAUGUUGAUGACAUGUUGAUUGUCGGACAAGAUACCUCUAUGAUUAAAAAGCUCAAAGAAGAGUUAUCUAAGUCCUUUGACAUGAAGGACUUAGGGCCAGCCAAGCAGAUUUUGGGCAUGGAUAUAAUUCGUGACAGAAAAUCCAAAAAGUUGUGGUUGUCACAAGAAAAGUAUGUUGAACGGGUGCUUGAAAGGUUCAACAUGAAAGCAGCCAAAUCGGUAAGCUCACCUUUAGCCAAUCAUAUCAAGUUGAGCAAAGAGUCGUGUCCAAAAACAUAUGAAGAAAAGGAGAAAAUGGCAGUUGUUCCAUACUCUUCAACAGUAGGAAGUAUCAUGUAUGCAAUGGUGUGCACACGGCCAGAUAUUGCUCAUGCAGUAGGUGUGGUGAGCAGGUUUCUCUCUAAUCCAGGGAAUGACCACUGGGAAGCUGUUAAGUGGAUUCUCAGAUAUUUGAAGGGGACUUCUAAGAUGUGCUUGUGCUUUGGCGGUUCCAAACCAAUCUUGGAAGGAUUUACAGAUGCUGACAUGGGAGGUGACCUGGAUGGUAGAAAAUCUACAUCUGGGUACUUGUUCACUUUUGCCGGGGGAGCCGUGUCUUGGCAAUCCAAGUUGCAAAAGUGUGUUGCUUUGUCCACAACCGAGGUUGAAUACAUAGCCGCUACAGAAGCAUGCAAGGAGUUGUUGUGGCUGAAGCAGUUUCUCCAAGAGUUGGGUUUGAAGCAAAGUGAUUACGGCAUUUAUUGUGAUAGUCAGAGUGCUCUGGACUUGAGCAAGAACACUACAUAUCAUUCACGCACUAAGCACAUUGAUAUUCGUUAUCACUGGAUUAGAGACGCUAUCGAGAACAAGUUGCUGCAGCUGAAGAAGAUUCAUACUGAUAAUAAUUCUUCAGACAUGUUGACAAAAGUAGUCACAAAAUCAAAGUUGGAAUUCUGCAUUAAAGCUGCUGGGAUGAACUCCAGGUAACUUGGAGUCAUGAUCGGAAUUCCUCCCUCAUGGACUGGAGGGGGAGAUUGUUGGUAUAUGGUUCAGCCCAUGAUCAAUGUUCUAGAUUAUUCUAGUAAGCAAGAGAUGAGGCUGGAGCUUGCUAGACAAUUCUAGCAUGUUAUUAAGUUGAUGGAAGAAGCUAGAGAGUACUAGCUUCCUUGGUUGCAAAUGGAAAGAUCUAGAAGCUACAAGUAUGUGGCUAGUCUAGAUUUUUCUAUACUAGAGGUUUGAAGAAGGAACUAGAAACUAGUAGAAUGCCAAGCCCUCACCUAUAAAUAUGGGUGUGAUGUAACCAAUAGAGAACUAAGAGUGAGUAGCAAAUGAUCAAGUCCAAAGCUAGAGUUCCACUCCAAGAGUGAGAGUGAGAGUGUUCCACUACACAUUGUGUGAGUGAAGUUUAGAGUGAUAGAAAGUGUGUGUUAUACUUUCUUGUAUCCAUCAAGCCUUGUCUUUGGCUUGGUAAGACUACUCUUAUUGUAUUCAUCUUUUUCAUAUAGUGAAGAUUCCUUGUUUGGUGGACGUAGGCAUAAAUUGCCGAACCACAUAAAUUGUUGGCGUCCAUUUUCUACUUUACCUUGUGCAUUCUCUAUCUUGUAGUACCGACAUUCCUAACACUAUAAGCCACCAUGUUGGUGGCUUGACAAUUCGAUGAUGAUGAUGAGCGGUGGAGACGGAGGACUAGAAACUUCGAUGAUGAUGAGUAUAUUUAGAGAUAGGGAUUUUACUUGGAAAAGGGAAGGGCAGAGAACGAAGAAUCAUGAACUUUAGUAUAAAUGGUAUUAUAGUAUUUUUAUGUGAAAUUUUUGUAAGCCCCCUCUCAAAAACUCGACCUCUGAUGUCCAUCGGACGUCAGACGACGGCUGGGCAUGGCUGCACCUUUUACGGCCUUCCGAGGGCUUUCUAACAGUUUUGGCUUUUUUCUUUCAUUUUUGGAUUUCGUCGCAGGUAUAAACUUUCAUCUCUUGUCGAUAUCUUGCUACCUGUGAAGUUUGGUUUUUGACGAAAAACUGAGUUUCUGCUUACUGGAAACCAUCGCGCAUGGCGGCACAUGUGGUGGUGUAUGGGCAACUCUAGUGACAUGGAUUUUGGAUAGAUGUUCUUGAUGCCCCAAAGCCUAUAUCCAAGGGCCGUUUGUUGAGAUUCGAAGCGAUAGUUAAUUAUUCAAUUUUUGAAUUAAUUGUAUCGUCGUUCAAUUUUCACAAUUGACAUCGUUGGAUCGUCGUGCAAUUUUACGAGUAUGCUAUUUAUUGAUUGUCGAUCCUUUGUUAACUUGUGGAAUGGAAAUCCAACGUUUGGAUCUUUCAUACUGAAGAAUCUAGUGUAGAAUUUCACGCUGAAACUCAAAACUCAAAACUCGCUUCAUAUUGCCUUGUUUCCCUAAAUUUAUUAAACAUCCAUUAAAUUUGCUUAUGUGGCUUUAAAUUCUAUGAAAUCAAUGGAAUUUUAUAUUUUUAUUGGAUUAAUAUUUUGGUUUGUCGUUACUGUUUGAUUUGAUUAAUAAUUUGGCCCCAUUUUCAUAAAAUUAGUUUUGUUUUACAUCUACAUUUUUUUAAUCCACAUCAGCAUAUAUGACAGUUUUUUAACGAAAUUGGCAAAAACAAAGCAAUCUGGAGCAAAUUUUGAGUUUCACGGACUAGGUGGAAUCUACUAUAUAAAUCAUAUAACACAACUAUGCUCAAUUUUACAUCAAGUUUUUUUUUAACUCCAAGUACUCCAUAUAUUUUCUUAAAUUAUCCAUAAGAAUUAUAUACUACAUUAACUAAAAACUGACCACUAUAGUAAUAUUAUUAUCCUAAGAUAGCUAGUAAAUUUAUUUAUUCACUUAAAUUAUAAUUCGGUUGAUGCACGCUAUAUAAAAUUGAGAGCUUUAAUGAAAAUGGCUUGAGUGAAGUUUAAUUUAAUCAAAAAUCAUCUUAUAUUAUUAUUUAACCAAAAAUACUUUAGAUUUAAUCAUAAGGACACAACUAAUCUAUAUGAAAUCCCACAAACAUUAAAACUACAUGGGCUGAAUUAAAAGCCCAAAACAGAAUAUUUUCAGCGCUUGCCCCUAACAGAAACCCAUUCCGUCAGCCGAUCCCGUUAAAAAAACUAUACAACAUUUCAAGCGAACAACAAAAGGCAAAUAUUUCAGUUAAUUAAAUCCCACCCCGCUCUAAACACCUCACUCGCCAUCGCGGUCUCCCACCUCGCUCGAUUUGCCGUGAUUUGCCGAGAGAAACAAUCCCCUGAAUCUCACAGUCGAUCUCGUCUGCUUGUUCCAGGUUCGAUCAGAUCUUUGUCUCUUUGCUACAGACUUUAUUAUUUAUUUAAUUAAAUCCCGUGUCAUUCUAUUUGUUAGAUGGUAGUUUCCAAAAAGUUUUUGAAAAUUUUAUGGUUUUUUUUGUUUGUUCAUUUAUGGAUGAAUUGAUGGACUGGGUUGUGGUUUAUAUUUAUAUUUGUGAUUAGAUAUGGAUUUCUUUAUGAACUGCAUAUGGGUUUAUUCUGUUGAUUUGAGCUCCGAAGGACUGAAAAUCCCAGAAAGAUUCAUGAGACACAUGGAAGGCAGAACAUCGGGGUUAGUUUCGUUGUUCGACCUUAGCGGCAGUGCGUGGAGCGUUGAAUUGAUUCAAUAGAAUGUUGGUUUGUUCUUGCAUCAUGGGUGGUCGGCAUUUGUGAGAGACCAUUACGCAUUUGAUGAGGCCUGGUGCGGAUGUUGUUUUAUUUAAGGUAAAGGCAUCGAUCCAAAAUAUGUGUGGAAAAAGAGAUGGAUUCAAUGUUAACAGUAGAACUUGUUUGCAGAUGUCAUCAACACAUGAAGUAGCUCCAUCGUUUAGUCCUCUAAGUUCUAUUCCGCUUGUUACUCGUCCAGCCUUUCUCUUUGAUUGUACUCAAACGGAUUGCCCCAGGGGGGUUUUUCUUUUUAAUAUAGUUUUUUAUUUUCUAUCCAAAAAAAAAAACAGCCUAAAUUUUAAUGAAAAUGAACACCAACUAUCACUAUUUCUUAAAGUGGGCACUGAUUAUUUCUUAAACUGAACACUGGUACUAUCAUUAUUUUUUAAACAGAACACGAACUAUUUCUAGAAUUGAACAUUGACUAUUUCUUAAACUGAACACUGCUACUAUCAUUAUUUUGUAAACUGACCACUAACUAUUUCUAGAACUAAACACGAUACUAUCACUAUUUCUUAAAGUUAGCACUAACUAUUUCUUAAAUUGAACACUGCUACUAUCACUAUUUUGUAAACUGAACACUGGUACUAUCAUUAUUUCUUAAACAUAACACACACUAUUUUUAAAAUUGAACAUUGAGUAUUUCUUAAACUGAACACUGGUACUAUCAUUAUUUCGUAAAUUGACCACUAACUAUUUCUAGAACUAAACACGAUACUAUCACUAUUUCUUAAAGUGAGCAUUGCCUAUUUCUUAAACUGAACAUUGGUACUAUCAUUAUUUCGUAGACUGACCACUAACUAUUUCUAGAACUAAACACGAUACUAUUACUAUUUCUUAAAGUGAGCACUAACUAUUUCUUAAACUGAACAUAGACUAUUUCUAGAAUUGAACAUUGACUAUUUCUUAAACUGAACACUGGUACUAUCACUAUUUCAUAAACUAACCACUAACUAUUUCUAGAACUAAACACGAUAAUAUCACUAUUUCUUAAAGUAAGCACUGACUAUUUCUUAAACUGAAUACUGGUACUAUCACUAUUUCGUAAACUGAACACUGAUUGUUUCUAGAACCAAACACGGGUAUUAUCACUAUUUCUUAAACUGAACACUAACUACUUCUUAAACUGAACAGAGUGCAAAGUGAGCAUCUUUUGUAAUUGGUUGGGUCCCCAUCCCUUCUCCCUCACCAUCCUAUUAUAGGAAAUGAUUGUAGAGUGCAAAGUGACAUAUAAAUAAUUAUGAUUCAAUUUUAGAGGAGCUACAAAGCCACACCAAACAACUUUUCUUACAACAAAAUGGUAUGACUGAUAACUCAAAUUUUUUUACCUUCACUCAGCAACAUCCUGCAAGUGCAGGAAAACCAAAAGUAUAUUGAAAGAUAAAAAUCUUCAUAUGUGCAAAUAAAUCAAGUGAAUAAUCAUUAAUCACAAAUGCUGAGAAAUGAAAAUAUAUAUACCCGCAACAUGAUUUCUAGCUUUCUCUAAUUUAUCAAGAGCAGCAUUUCUUGGCUUUCCAUGCUCAUCUUGGCUCUCAGUGCCGUCUUGGCUUUUCCUUUUCAGUAUCCCGUUCCUCGUCCUUAGAAGAUUCUUCUGAGUCCUCAGCAACUUGCAUGUCGACAAGGCUUUUUGCUACCGUCUGAGCAACCACAGCUGCCUACAUCCAAAAAUCGCCACUUCACAAACUAAACCACAAAAUGCAGCAAACCUACACUCUUCUAUUUGGACUAAAAACAUAAAUCUUUGCAUAGUUUAUAAUUAAACUGCCACAAGCAAACAAAAACAUAUACAUGCAUGUAAUCAGAUUACGGCACCAAACUCUUAAUAACUUAAACCUACUUUGAGAUUCGCAAUCUAAAACAGUUAAUUAACUCUGCAAUUAUCAAACACCACCAAAAACACUAAUCAACAUUUCCCAAACUUAUAAACUCUAAUUCCCAAAAUACACCAAAUCAAGUUGCAUAUUCAAAUACAUUUAUCAAACGCUGGAGAUUUGAGAAGACGGACGAAAAGCCCCAACCUCCCUAUCCUUCGCUUCUUUCCGAAGCGAGAUCUGCGUAUAUUGUUCACAUGCAUCAGGAUUUCAAUUGCAUUUUCCAGAGUUGUUGGGGUUGUCGAUACGUGUGUUGGAAUUGUGAUGAAAUUAACGAAAGGCUCUAAAUCUAUAAACCUUCUCUCUCUCUCUCUCCAUCUGAAGCGAAACGAACCAACGGACAAGACUUAACGUCAAGGGUAAAAUCGAAAGCUCGAUAUAUUAUAUUUUUUGGGCUGGCUUGAUAUUGGAUUUUGUACUAACCAUUAAAUAAAGUUCUUACAUGAUUUUUGAUUAAAAUUCAAAGUAUUGAAGACAUUUUCAUUAGUUUUCCUUAAGUUAUUUUGAUUCACUUUCAGAAAUAGUGUUGGUUAUUUUGUUGUGGUUUUAGAUAUAAUGUUUAUUUUGUUACCUUUUAGAAAUAGUGUGGGUUAUUUUAGUCUAAUUUUAGAAAUAAUGUGAGUUAUUUUGUUGUAGUUCUAGAAAUAGUGUGAGUUAUUUUCGUUUAGUUUCAGAAAUAGUAUGAGUUAUUUGUUGUAGUUUCAGCAAUAAUGUGGAUUAUUUUGGGCCAGUUUAAAAAAUUGUGUGAUUAUUUUGGUGUAGUUCCAAAAAUAGUGUGAAUUAUUUUGGUUCAAUUUUAGAAAUACUGUGAUUAUUUGACUGUAGUUUCAAAAAUAGUGUGAAUUAUUUUUGUUCAGUUUCAGAAAUAGUGUGGUUAUUUUGUUGUAGUUCCAGAAAUAGUAUGAGUUAUUUUGGUUUACUUCCAGAAAUAGUGUUAGUUAUUUUACUGUAGUUUAAAAAAUAAUGUUUAUUUUGUCCCCUUCCAAAAAUAAUGUGCGUUAUUUUGGUUCAGUUUCAGAAAGAGUAUGAGUUAUUUUGCUAUAAUUCAAGAAAUAGUGUGGGUACUAUACUAUUUAUGAAACUGAACACGGGUACUAUACUAUUUAUGAAACUGAACACGGGUACUAUACUAUUUAUGAAACUGAACACAAAUACUACACCAUUUAUGAAACUGAACACAUUAUUACACUAUUUAUGAAACUGAACACAGAUACUACACUAUUUAUGAAACAAAACAUUGGUAAUAUCACUAUUUCUUAAAUCGAACACUGACUAUUUCGGAACUGAACAUGGGCACCAUACUAUUUCUGAAACUGAACAUUGGUGUUACACUAUUUAUGAAAAUGAAUGCUGGUACUAUCACUAUUUCUUAAACUGAACGCUAACUUCUAAAACUGAAUAUGAAUACUAUGCUAUUUCCAAAACUAACAAAGACAUGAUCAGACACCUAGCUAGGAUUCGAAUACAAUUUUCCACAUACUUCCAAGAUGGCUUGGAUAGACUCUAUAUAUAAUUAAUUGCUAAUUAUAAUAGCAUCAGCAAAACCUUGUUUAUAAGUUGUCAUAGCACUCACCAAAAUAAACUCGUACUUUUCAACUUGUCUUUCUCAAAAGACUAAAUGAUAAUUAGUUUCAAAUGUGGACCAUCUCCAUAUGGCUUUUGGUUAAAAAGAUGUGGUUUAUGAUAAGUAGAAAGCUAGCUUUCUCUAUUGGCAGCCUCUUUACAAUUUCAUAUUUGUAUUUUAUAAUAAUAAAAAGAUGUGCUUCCCCUCUUGAUAAUUGGGCUCAUCUUUAACUUCAAGAUCAACCAAGUUUGCUUCCAUAUCGUAGACCUCCUUGCGAAUGAUGGUGCCAUUCUUGUAGUUGGAAUUGUUGGUGUAGCGGAGCUACGUCGUCGGGUCGAAACUCGAACUCUAGGAACUCGUGGCCGAACUUGCCCUUGUGGCCGACGUAGUACCUCAGGUAGAACUCGUUGGUCUCUUCCUCUCCGGCUAUCUCCGUCUCUCUCGCUUGCUUUUUUCUCUCUUCCUUCAUCCUCAAAGGCUCCUAAUAUGGUGAUUCGAAAAAAUGGUGGAAUUCGAAUGGAAUGGAAAAUGAAAACAGAGAUGUGGAGAGAUCGAGAGAGAGGUAGAGAGAUCAAUUCGAUUACAAAAAUGGAGGAAUUGUUUAUGUGCAGAGGAGAGAUCAAGAUUAGGCAGAGAGAUUGAGAAGGGAGAUCGAGAAAUAGGGAUUACGUGGAAAGACUGAGAAAUGGAGAGAGGAUCAACGGGAAAUGAUUUGCUGUUAAGGGUAAAACUGGAAACUUAUUUCUUGGGCUAAUCUUACUGGGCUGGUUUGAUGUUGGGCUUUGUCCUAACCAUUAAAUAAAUUUAUUAUCUGGUUUUUUAUUAAGAUUCAAAAUUUUAAAGCUCUUUUCAUUAAUUUUCCUUAUAAAAUUAUCUCUAACUUUUUCUGCAGGGGCAAAUUGACGCCAAAAGAAAAAUAUUGAAGCAGCAUGUAGAUGCCCCCUCAAUUAAAAACUUCUUGUGGCUGUCAUCUGCAGCUUUAGCUAUCAAAUAAUCAAAGACAUCGUGCAAUAUUUGCAGAACUCUGAGAUUAUUGCUCUAAUAUUUGUACACAUGUAACACAAAUGUCUUGUGAAAAGAUAGAGAAAUUUGCAGAGAUAAUACCUGAAGAGACCUAUAUGUAUAUAUUUUUCUGCUCGUAUCUUUUCCUUCCAAUCUAGAACUACGAAUGUUUACAGACAGGUCAGUAUUUAGGAGCAUGCCUUUGAGGUAUCGACAUGAAGAUAGAGUAAAUUGUGCCUACUGGUUUGAUAUUAUGUGUUUGUUUUGUUGAGCAGUUGUUGAUGGGGAUAUAAAAAGACCACAGGAUGAAGACAUACAAUCCAAUGUUCUUGAAAUAGUUGGGUCGAACAUCCAGUCCACAUGCAUUACUUGCCCAACGGACCCAUCAGCUACACUGAGUAUAAAACUUCCGUUCCUGGUUAUGAUUGUAAAGAAUCUGAAGAAAUAUUGCACAUUUGAGAUUCAAAUUCUGGAUGACAAGAAUGUCAGGCGACGUUUUCGAGCUUCCAAUUUUCAAGUGUGCAAGUUUGCCCGUGUUUAUUGAUGUUUAUCAACUGCCUAAUGGGUUGAUCUUGUUGUUCUCUGUUUUCUUCUUUUCUUUUCUAUUUGGUAUUUCAGUUCAGGGAAUAUUCUGGUACACGAUAAUGCUUCUUAUGUUUUUGUAUAAAAGAUAUGUAUGUGUGUGUGUGUGUGUGUGUGUGUGUGUAUUUCGCAUACAAGUCUAACCGUUUAUGUUUGUCUUUUGAGAUUCAUUUGGCAUAAAAUUGGUCCUGUUGCAUUCUUACUUCUUUGUUAAUAUUAUUCAUGACUGAAAAUGGUAGGUAAAGUUUUGGACUAGUACCAGUAGGAGUUCUGGUGAACGUUUACUGAAUAGGCACAAUUUCAGAUAAAACUAAAAGUGCAGGAUCUUUUUCUUUUAGGACAAUCUGUGAACAUUUCAACAAAUAUUCAUGGAAGGUAUGUGCACAGUUAAUGUAGUGAAAGACGACGGAGCUUUACCUUCAGAUCGAUACGUUCUCCCACUUUAUUUAUUUCCACAUCAAAUUGUGAAAAUCUUGUUUCUUCUCAUCCGUUUCGAGAAGAUGCCAACACAAGUGCUUUCCUUUUUCAUACCCCAGCUCAACAUACACGAAUACUCCUAAAUUCAAAUAUGGUGAAAUUAUAAACAAUUGAUUGAUCUUAUAAAACAUGCAUGAGGAAACAAUUCUGUUUAUUUAUUUAGUGAUCUUAUAAACGAUUGAUCGAUCUUAGACAAGUUGUUUAUUUAUCAACUUUUCAUAAACUGAAGAAACAAAAGUGAAAUGGAACCCAAUUUUUGUUAUCUGCAGUGUUCAAUAAAAGAAAUAUCGUUCCUGUGAAAUGUGUAGUGCAGCAACCACCCACCUGUUCUAGUAACAUAAUGUACUGACUUCCAACAAACGCAAGCAUGAGGGCAGUGCUGCAAAGAAACCUGUCUCUCCUUUUUUUUUUCUUUUUUUUUUCUUUUUUUUUUUGUGGUCAUCAUCACCUGUUCUCACUUCAACAGCUGUGUAUGUACAAAAAGAACAUAUCUGCACCCACUCGAAGAUGGCAGCAACAUGAAGAGAAGAUGAAAAGGCAUGUUGCUUGUAUUGAAAAUAAAGCAGUAUAAGAGUAGAACAUCAUUCCAGGGGUUACCUAUCCAAUUGGAGGAGAACCGUAUUGAUACCACACUGCAAGGAGAACCAUUCAUGGACAACUAAUUGAUGGACACUAAAAUCGUUGGCUUUAGAUAAUCCAAUAUUUACAGUUCCACAGUUUGCUAUCCAUAUCAGCAAAGCUGAGAAACAGGGUAGUUUUAACAUCUCAAAUGUUAAAACAUGAAAAGCAUUUCAACCAAAUGGAAAAACAUCUCAAAUGUUGAGCCUUAACAAUAGUUUUAACAUCAAUUAUAGAAAGCGAGAAGCGUAAUUGAAAGGAUGAAGAUGUUAGAAAUGGGAAUUUACCUUCCGGUAUCAUGGCCAUAGCAUUGACAACCUCUGUGGGAGCGUCAGCAGCCUCACUUCUGAGUACUGAAACAAUGGAGUCCGACUCUGAAAUCGGGACAGCAUUACCACUCCCUGUUGGCACCAAAAGAUGCUUGCCUCAAAGAUUGCCAUAUGACCUUAUUCUUUGGUAAAGCAAACCUUUCACGUUGGAGUCGAUGGACAGAUCUUUUAUUUUGCUCCUCAAUCCAUUGGCGUCCUGGACGAAAGACCGAAAAGAUCUCGUCACUCAUAACGCAGUAAACAGGACAAUUACAAAGUUAUAAUUUGCAUAUUAUGUAUCUUCUAUUUACUUUAGUGUUAAGAACCUCAUCACAAAGGAAAUUCAAAAGCCUAAGCUUUUGGGAGAAGCUUAAGGCAUCAUAUCCAUCCCCGCCUCCACUAAAACACUCUACGGGCAACACUGCGGCAGCUCCUUCAUAACGGGGUCGACCUUAGAGAGUUCACCAAAUCUUGGAACCAUGAGCAGUUGGUGCUUGCUUGCUCUAGAGACAUAACUGAAAAUAAAGUUGGCAUAAACCACAUGUAUUAUUUUCACAAUUAAAGCUUACUAAAAGUACUUUACACAUAACUAUAAUACACUAGGUAGAGUUCUUUCUCCUGUAUGAAGAAAAACAUAUAGCUAUGAAAUCGAACAAUGGAAAACUGAUCAGGCCGUCCACUUCGUCCACGCGAGAGUUCUCAAAGAACAGGUUCAGCUUGGGACUUUUCAAUUUAAAAAAAAAAAUAGAGUAAAAAGAAACAAGAAAAGAAAAUGGGAUUUCAAGUGACUUGGAAGUCCAGGAAUGUUUUAGCACCCCAAAAAAGGGUGAACAAAAUCAAUUAAAAGAAGUUUAGAGCAACAUUUCAAUCAAAUAUAUAAUAGAACAACAGUAAGAAUUACCCCUCUAAAUGUUUCACAGAACUUACAAAAAUUGGAGAUCAUUCCCCACAUCCUCAGCAGCUAAUGGUGCCCUGAGGUAGGGGAAGAUCUAGAUCAACCCCUCUGCUAUCAAUCCGGCGUUCUUUGACCCUGCGACACGCUCCUGCAGCCUUGCCCUUGCCCUUGGCAUCAUUCUGAUUCACAGCACCACCAUCAUCUCUGCUGCUUUACAAGUUUCCAUCAACUCGUCCUGCUUUGCUGCAUCCGAGUACUUUACAUCUUUGCUCAGAAGAGAAUGCUCUUUUGGAAUAAUUGUGUAUUCUAUUCAUCUCUCAAGGAGGGGUUUAUAUGAUGUUACAAUUCUAUCAACAAGGAAAGAAAUAAUUUACAUAAAAUCAUAUUAAACUAAGAAUCCCAAGAUUACAGGAAUAUACACAAAAAGUCAACAUUCCCCCUCCAGUUGGUGCAUAUAUGUCACACAUGCCCAACUUAUGUAGGAAACUUGAAAACUUAUGACUUGAAACAGCCUUUGUGAGGAUAUCUGCCAACUGAUCUUCCGUUCUUAUCGCUGGUUCCUCAAUUAUCUUCCUUUCCAAUUUCUCUUUGAUGAAGAACCGGUCAACUUCAACAUGCUUUGUUCUAUCAUGCUGUACUGGAUUAUGUGCAAUAUCACAUGCAACUUUAUUAUCACAAAAUAAUUUCAUAGGUUGAUCAUGUUUUAUACCCAAAUCCCUUAGCAUAAGCUUAAGCCAUAAAAUUUCACAAAGCCCUAAGGUCAUACCUCUGUAUUCAGCUUCUGCACUAGACCGGGCAACCACAUUUUGUUUCUUACUCCUCCAAGUAACCAAGUUACCCCCAACGAAUGUAAAGUAACCUGAUGUUGAGCGCCUGUCAUCCACUGAUCCUGCCCAAUCUGCAUCAGUAUAACCUUCAACUCUAAGAUGAUUAUUCCUUUUAAACAAAAUUCUUUUGCCUGUGCUUCCCUUCAAAUAUCUUAAAAUCCUCAUCGCUGCAUUCAUAUGGUGUUCUCCAGGAUCAUGCAUGUAUUAACUCACUACACUCAAGGCAUAUGCAAGGUCUGGUCUUGUAUGUGCCAAGUACAUUAAACGGCCUACUAACCUUUGGUAUCUCCCUUUGUCAACUGAUACUUGAUUAGGAUCAACACUAAGUUUCAAUCCUUCCUCUAAUGAUGUAGCUACUGGCUGACAAGCUGACAUGCCGGUUUCGUAUAACAAAUCAAUAAUAUACUUCCUCUGAGACAAAUAAAUUCCAGAAUUGCUUCUCGACACCUCAAUCCCUAGAAAAUAUUUUAGGGAUCCAAGGUCUUUCAUCUCAAAUUCUGUAGACAAGUAUCCUUGCAAGGCCGCACGUUCUUCUGGAUCAUUCCCUGUUACAACCAUAUCAUCUACAUACACAAUGAGUGCAGUAAGCUUCCCAUUUCAUCUUUUCAAAAACAGAGUAUGAUCGGAAUUACUUUUUGUGUAACCAAAUGCUCUCAUAGAUUUUGUGAAUGUUCCAAACCAUGCUCGAGGGAACUGCUUCAAACCAUACAAGGAUUUUUUCAACCUGCAUACCUUUCUUUUGUAUUUAUCAGGAGCACUACAUCCUGGUGGAAGAUCCAUCUAAAUUUCUUCUGUCAAAUCUCCAUGCAAGAAUGCAUUCUUCACAUCAAACUGUUGUAAGGUCCAAUUAAGAUUUGCAGCCAAGGACAACAAAAUAUGAACUGUGUUGAUCUUGGCCACAUAGGCAAAUGUAUCUGUAUAAUCGAUUCCAUAUUUUUUAGUGUGCCCUUUUGCUACCAGUCUUACCUUGAAACGAUCCACUGUCCCAUCAGCUUUGUACUUGACAGUAUAGACCCAUUUGCAUCCCACAGGUUUCUUGCUAGCUAGCAAGUCCAUGAUCUCCUGCACACUGUUAGGAAUAGAUACAGUAGAUAAUUGAAACACAAAUGACUUAUUUGAUUCUGAUAAGUGGCUGGUAGACACAUAAUUACCUAACGGGUAUAACACAUUAGAUUCUUGGUUGGGUCUAUUCACCGGGUACCUAGUUUUGCAUUUAGGGUCAACUUCGUAAGUAAGUUUAGGAAUACCUCGGUUGACACGGUUAGGGAGACAAUGUCGUGGUGGAGCAUCCGGGAUCGAAGACGAUUGAUCAUGGUUAUUGGGCCUCAAGGGUGGUGAGACCAACUGUGAGGUAGUUGGCGACAAUGAGUUGUCUAAUGGUGAGGAGGUUGGCAGUGAGUUGUCCAACGGUGAGGAAGGCAAUGAAUUUUCUGGCGGUGUCGGCUCAUCAACAUUGCUUUCAUGUGAAUGAUCACCACUUAACUCCAGGGCAUUACCACUUAAUUCCAAGUCAUUCACAUUAUUACUUUCUUGUGAAUCAUCACCACUUGUUUCCAAUACAUCACCACUUAAAUCCAAAUGAUUCACAUCAUUAUGUUUUUGUGAAUCAUCACCACUUGUUUCCAAUACAUCACCACUUAAACCCAAAUGAUUCACAUAAGGAAUAGUAUAAUCAAGAGUUUGAACUUCUGUCUGAUUCUCCCCCUGAAGUGCAGACUCUGAAUGGGCAAAGUACAUAUCGUUUUCAUGAAAUGCAACAUCCACAGUGACAAACAACUUUUUCGUCAGAGGAUGAUAGCAGCGAUAUACUUUUUUAUUAGAGGCAUACCCCAUAAACACACAACAUAAGGCUCGAGGUUCAAGCUUACUCCUAUGCUGUUUAUGGAGAUGAAUGAAAGCCACACAACCAAAAACGUGAGGUGGAAGAUUUGGAACUGCAUGAGCAUCAACAUGUGAGGAGAGAGCCUAAAGAGGUGUCUGAAAAUCAACUAAUCGGGAUGGAACGUGAUUAAUGAGAUACGCAGCCGAGGUGAGAGCUUCUCGCCAAUAGGAUAACGAGAGAUGCCCCUCGAGUAAGGAAGCAUGAACAACCUCCAGAAGGUGACGAUUCUUGCGCUCUGCAACCCCAUUUUGUUGUGAAGUGUAUGGACAUGUAGUUUGAUGAACAAUACCAUGAUGAUCCAGAAAGGCACGAAGUUCAGAGUUCAUAUACUCGCCACCAUUAUCACUCAUGAGAACCUGUAUUUGUGACUUAUACUGUACUUGAUCCAUUUUAUGAAAUUGCUAGAACAAGGAAGUAACUUCACUUUUUGACUUCAUCAAACAAACCCAAGUCAGACGUGUGCAAUCAUCAACAAAAGUAACGAACCAAUAAGCACCACCAAAUGUAGCAAUUUUAGAUUGUCCCCAAACAUCAGAAUGGAUUAUCAUAAAUGGAACAGAACUUUUUGUCAAACUGGACGGAAACGAAGUACGAUGACUUUUAGCUAGUUCACAAACACCACAUUUAAAGCUAGAAACGUCAUUCUUAACAAAUAGGCUAGGAAACAACCUCUGUAAAUAACCGAAAGAAGCAUGUCCAAGUCGACGAUGCCACAACCAAACCUUCGAAGCUUUAUUCCACUCCCCCUGAGAUCCUUCCACAGUAAGAGCUUGAGUCAACAGUUGGGUACUAUUUAAUGUCAGCUCCAAGUAGUAAAGCCUCCCUUUUCUGAUACCAUAACCAAUCGUCUUGCGAGUCCGAAUAUCCUUAAAAACACAAAAAGAAGGCCAAAAAAUAACAAGACAAUGUAGGGCGACGGUUAUUUGAGCAACAGAUAAUAAAUUAUAAUCAAGAGAAGAAACAACAAGGACGAUAUCAAGAUUAAGGGUAUCUGUAAGGGAGACAUCGUCUUCCCCAAUAAUAGGGGCAGGGUUACCAUUGGCAACACUUACAACAGUUUUGGUGGAUGGUUUUAGGGUUUGUACCUGUCUAGAAUCACAAGUCAUAUGUUCAGUGCACCGGAAUCAAUUAUCCAUGUAUUAUUCGUAACAGAUGCAGAAACCUUUAAAACUUUACCAUCGUUGUUUGUGUGUUCAGAAGCUACCUUAGCUUUGGCAAUCAAUGCACACGACUCAUUACAGCGGGAUGACGAGUCCAGUAUGUCAUUUCUCCGCAUGAGUUGAGUGGAACGUCUGAGGUGAUUGAUAGGGCCAAGAUUCCAAACCAACUAGGUCAACAAUGCGAGACCCUUAGAAAAAAAACAAACACUAACACAAAAAAGGACAAACUAUUUUUUAUUCCUUUUUUUUUCUUUUUUCCUUUUUUUCUUUUUUUCUUUUUUCUUUCUUCUUUUUCUUCUUUUUCUUUUUUUCUUUUUUCUUUUUUGCUUUUUCUUUUUUUCUUUUUUUCUUUUUUUCCUUUUCUUUUGUCCUUUUUUCCUUUCCUUACGCCUGGGGACUUCCUUCAACACACGGUAAAGCAAAAAAUAAAUGCAGAUAAGACCAAAUCACAUUUCCUUACACCUGGGGACUUCCUUCAACACACGGCAAAGCAAAAAAUAAAUGCAGAUAAGACCAAAUUAGUUUCGCAGAACACGAGUCAGUUUCUGGUGCAUACAAAAUUGCAGACAGAGGUCGUAGUUGUCAACCGGGAUUUGCAACGGCAAGGUUUCUAGAUUAGGAUCUCAGUUCGUGGGUAUGCGAUGCAGCAACGAACAGUAGUAGGUGAUUGCAGGGAUCGGCUUAGUGAACUUGGGUCAGCAACGACAGCGUCGCUCACUGGUCUGGAUGGAUGCAGGGGUCAGCUCGGUGAACUCGGAUCAGCAACGACGGCGUCGCUCGCUAGUGUGAUCGUGCGCUGCACAACUGGCUGCACAACCGAUGGUUCUUGGUUCUGCGCACAGCGAGCAACUUUUUUCCUUUUUUCUAACCUAGGCUCUGCCACAAAGAAGGGAAUGCUCUUUUGAAAUAAUUGUGUAUUUUAUUCAUCUCUCAAUGAGGGAUUUAUAAGAUGUUACAAUUCUAUCAAUAAGAAAAGAAAUAAUUUACAUAAAAUUAUAUUAAACUAAAAAUCCCAAGAUUACAGGAAUAUACACAAAAAGUCAACAUGCUCUGAUCAAGGGCAUUCUCCUUCCCUCGUUUGCUAGUUGAAUCAACACAAAUUGCCUGCCAAAACUUGAGACCAUAAACCCUCUUAAACAUAACUAAAAAUCAAACCAACAACAGUAUCAAUAUGCAUUCACAAAUCAAAUACUAUAAUCAACCGCACCUCCAUCUCUGCUGCCAAAAUCAACCUCUUGAGUCUUAAUAUUCCCAGGCCAUUCCUUGACUUUAUGAUGCUUUCUGACUACCUUGGCAUUGACAUCCUUAUGUAAGCAAACACAUGUUGCCCUUAGAUGAUAUAGUCCUGAAAUUUAGUUGAAUUAAAUAAUUAAAAACUGAUUGAUUGAUUAAUUAAACACACAGAAAAUAAUUGAAGAGAAACUUUUAGAGAGUCUGAAUCUUGGCUAUGGAAUGAAAAUGGUGCUAUCAUUUAGUUUAUGGAGAGUUUUAUAUUACUUCUGACAUCAUCAAUCUUGUGGAUAACUUUUUAAUAAGGGUAAAAGACUGUUUACUACCCUCAUGUUUCAUGGUUUUCAACAUUUAGUACAUCAAGUUUUUUUCGUCUCAGAAUCAUACCUAAAGUGUAAAUUUUGGGACAGUCUCAUACACCCGUUAGUCAAACUGUUAAAUCUGCCGUUAAUUGUGACGUGGCGCCCAUGUGGACAAUGACUGGGUGCCACGUGUCAGCCACAUUUUUUUUCUUUUCUUUUUUCUUCUUUCUUCUUUCUUCUUCUUCUUCAUCCGAUUGCAACUUUUUUUUUCUUCCUCCUUCUCCUUCUUCCUUCUUCCUUCUUCCUUCUUCCUUCCCCUUCUUCUCCUUCCUUCUUCUUCCUUCUUCCUUUCCCUUCUUCUCCUUCCUUCUUCCUUCUUCCUUCUCCUUCUCCUUCCUCCGAAUCUGGGGAAGUUUUUUUUUUUUUUUUCUUCUUCCUCCUUCUUCCUCCUUCCUCCUUCUUCCUUCUUCCUUCUCCUUCCUCCUUCUUCCUUCUUCCUUCUUCUUCCUCCGAAUCUGCCCAAAUUCGGUUUUUUUUUUCUCCUUCUUCCUCUUUUUUUCUCAUUCCUCCUCCUUCCUUCCUCUUCUUCUUCUUCUUCCUCCGAAUCUGCCCAGAUUUGGCUUCUUUUUUUCUUCUUUUUUCUUUUUUCUUCUUCUUCUUCUUCUUCCACCGACUGCAACUUUUUUUCCUUCUUUCUUCUUCUUCCUCCUCCUUCCUCCUUCUUCUUCCUUCUUCUUCUCCUUCUUCCUUCCUCCUUCUUCCUUCCCCUUCUUCUCCUUCUUCCUUCUUCCUUCUUCCUUCUUCUUCAUCUUCCUCAAAAAAAAAAAAAAAAACCUUCAUCUUCCCCAGAUUCGAAGGAAGAAGAAGGAAGAAGAAGGAAGAAGGAGGAAGGAGGAAGCAAGAAGGAGAAGAAGAAGGAAGAAAAAAAAAAAAAAAACCGAAUCUGGGUAGAUUCAGAGGAAGAAGAAGAAGAAGAGGAAAGAAGAAGAAGGAAGGAGGAGGAAGAAGGAAAAAAAAAAAAAAAACUUCCCCAGAUUCGGAGGAAAAAGAAGGAGAAGGAAGAAGAAGGAAGAAUGAGAAGAAGGGGAAGGAAGAAGGAGGAAGGAAGAAGGAGAAGGAGGAAGAAAAAAAAAGUUGCAGUCGGAGGAAGAAGAAGAAGAAAGAAGAAAGAAGAAAGAAGAACAAAGAAAAAAAAACGUGGCUGACACGUGGCGCCCAGUCAUUGUCCACAUGGGCGACACGUCACAAUUAACGGCAUAUUUAAUAGUUUGACUAACGGAUGUAUGAGACUGUCCCAAAAUUUACACUUUAGGUAUGACUCUAAGACGAAAAAAACUUGAUGUACUAAAUGUUGAAAACCACGAAACAUGAAGGUAGCAAACAGUCUUUUACCCUUUUAAUAAUUUAAACGAAAGUGUAUUCAGUAUCGGGAAUUGAGUAAAGAUAAUAUGUUCAUUGAACCAAACAUUACUAAAAUGAUACGUUCCUCACUUUGACUUGAGAUCUCAAAUGAUGACUUGGUCAUCUAUCUUGAUGCAAGGAAUGUGAGCUAUCGUCAUCCACUCUUCUCCCGUCUUCUCCUGACACCUCUUCUCCAGGGAAGAACAAUUUUUUAUUUCCAAUAAAGAAAGAGAUGCCGGAAGACCCUCUUUUGGCUGGAAUUCGAGACUAUCACAGUGGUGAAUACGGAGUUCUCGAAGACAAGUGAGGUGUUGAAGUCCCUUUCCCUCCAAAGAUUUUAGACUUUUCAUUUUAGAGAUUUGGAGACUUUUCAUGUCCCUCGACCUGAAGCCAGGGAUUAUUUCUCCCGGCCCACAUGCGAGCACCAUAAACCUCGCUGUUGCGGAAUAGUGACCACUAGAUAAGCACAAAACCAUUGAACAUAGUAUUUCCAAACAUAGGUACAUAUAUCUCAAAAACAUCUUCAUAGUAUAAGGUCAUCUAUCAUCUAUACUAUAAAGAAGUGGGUAAACACAUGUUCUAAAUAGUAUAUCGUCAUCCAUCAAAUACCCUACAAGAACAUGGGUUCGAUAGAAAAAUAUGGUAUUCCAAAAUAUUAGCAGUAAGCAUAAUAUCUCAUAAAACGUAAUCAUUAAAUCGUGCUUUUUAUGUAUGCAUUUUUACUAUUAAACAUGCAUUUUAGAAGGGGUCCACUCACAGAUACUCCGUCAAAGAUGAGCCGUACGAAAUAGGAAUGACGGAAUCGCCACUAUUAAUUGCACCUAAGCACAUAAAGGGUACAAUUAACAAAAUUAUACUCAAACGAUUGAAUUUGAGAAAAUAGAUAUCAUAAACGGGUCCAUGACGUCGAAAUUAGCCUAUGAAGGGUCCCGGACGAAACCUAAAAAAGUCAACCCGAAAAAUUAACUUUGAUGGUCAAAGUCAAAGUAAUCGGUCAACAUUAACCUGGUCAAUGGUCAGACCGGGUUUGAGUCAACAGGUCAAACCGGGUCACGGGCCAGAUCAAGGGUUUUGGUUGGGCUUAAAGGGUUUGGGUCCGAUGGGUUUUAGGGUUAGUGGACCGGAUCCAUGGCCCAAAGGCCUGUAUCCAAUAGGGUUUUGGGUCUGGCUUUGACAGGCUGGGCUCAAGUUCUACGAGCCAAAGGCCCAAGUUCCAUGCGACCCAAAGGCCUUAGGUCUUAGGGUUUUAAAAGGGUUUCACCGGGUUGGGCUUAGAAGCAAUGGCCCGAAGGCCCCAUAUCUACACGGCCCUAAGGACCGGUUUUAGGAAAUAAAUAUAAAAAAAAGGUUGGGCUUAAGGGUCACGAAGGCCUAGUCUAUUUGAUUUGGCUUGAAGGCCCUUUCUUUGUCGAGGAAGAAGGCCGGAGCCUUCCAAGCUCCGGUUAACGUCAUUUCACCGAUCUACCCUCUGAUCUACUUACGAACAUGAAGAUACAAGAACGGGGAAGAUGGACGGGGUGGCCGGGAUCUCGUGCAAAAGGCACGGGGCUCGUCAGAGAGAUUUGGGUGCCUUUAGGUGUCUCGGAGCUUGCAGAGACGAGGGGGAGUGAGAAAGAGUACACGGAGAUGGUAGUGGCGGUGCGUCGACGUCAAGGUGGAGGUGUAGGUGUGCGUGGGUGUGAUCGGGAAAUGAGGUGAGAAGGGGAGUUUCGAGAGAGAGUGAGAGUUAAGAGCUGAGAGUGAGAGAUCCGAGAGAGACUUGGGGAAAAAAAAAGGUAAGGUGAGUUCGUGGCCCGCCACGUGGCAGCGUGGGGGAGAAAGAAAAUCUAGAUAAAGGGUCCAAAUUCAAUUAGGAUAAGGGACCUUAUUGCACAUUUCAAUAACUUUUAGGGGAAAUGUGGGAUUACAAAGAAAUUUUGGGGAGGGGUUUUACAAAUCUUCCUUUCAUAUAUGACAAAUGCCGAACUCGUUUAGGAUCAUGUGGCUCUCCUUCAUCCAACCUAAAACAAAAUUCUCCAGACACAAACAUAGCCAAGUUAUUAAUGAGAUCAUGCAUUGUGAAACUUGAUUUCCCAAUUAAUGAUCUUUGAAGUAGUGAUCGUGACAAUAGUUCAUCAAAGUAUCUCUUGCCGACCUCUUCCAAUCCUUUACCACUCUCAGCUUGUGGAAUUAAACCCAGUGCCAUCCAAAGUUGAAUUAUAUUUUCCUUUUCAAAUUCAUAGUCCUUUGGGAAAAUUGAGAAAUAAGCAAAGCAUUGUUUCAAAUAAGUAGGGAGAUAAAGGUAACUCAUUCUUAAUGAUGGAAGAACACGUUUAUCAUGCAAUAUCUCCCAAAGAUUGUUGUUCAAUAUGUGACUCCAUUCCUUGUAAUCCACAUUACAACCUAAGAGACCCCGAAGUGCUUUUGCAGCUAAAGGAAGACCAUUGCACUUGCGUGCAAUUUGCUUACCAAUUUCUUCCAAGUCUGGAUACGCACUAGGAUUUUCAUUUCUAAAUGCAUGUUUUGCAAUUAACAACCAACAAUCUUCAUCUGACAAAUGUUUCAAGUAGUGAAUAGGCGCGGUGUGCACUAGGGAUGCAACACUUUUGUUUCUUAUUGUUACAAUGACCUUACUUCCCCUCACCCCAUAAGUAAAAGGAUCCCGUACAAGAUCCCAAUCAAUAUAGUUGUCAUUCUAAAGGUCGUCAACCACAAAUAGGAACUUUUCCCCCUCGCUUGUUCCCUUAGUUCAACUUGAACAAGAUAUCUUGAAGACUGCAAGGUUUUGAGCUAAUUGAUUCAAUAAGGGUUUUAGUUACCCUCAUAGCAUCAAAAUCUUCGGAAACACAUGCCCAAGCAGUAACAUCAAAAUGCUCUUUUAUUUUUUCAUCAUUGUAAAGGACCUGAGCAAGGGUUGUAUUACUAAUCCCCCGCCCAUUCCCACUAUGGGGAUUACUGAUACGUGGCUGCUACUCGCAUAAUCAGAUAGCAACGUUGUUUUCAACUUGUCCUUAUCUCCAUCCCUACCACAAGGAUGAAAUUCAUGCUCAACCAAGAAUGUUGUGGGAGUUCUUUAAGAAAUUUUCCCCUUAAGACCUCAUAUAAGACCAAGGAGAUUAAUUUGUUUUGCGAGGUGUUCUAACCUUUGGAAUAACUCUUGUAUCCUACCAUUCAUGCCUUGAUAAAAAGGAUUAAGAGAGGUAGAUAGGAAGUUCCACACCUGGGUUUUCUUAGUUUGAUAUUCAGCUUCCACCUUAGAGCGCAAAGCUUCAGCAUCGAUCUCAUCGAGUAGAUCCUCCGCAUCAAAGACAGCAUGUUUGAGCUCCUCGAGCCAGCUUCCCACAUCAUGGUUGACAAUCUGCUUCUCCUCUGCAUCAUUGAGCACUGCAUGAAGGGUCAACAACGUCAGCUUCAGCUUCUCCAUGAGUGAACGAUCAAGCUUUUUCCCCCGAAAGAUCCAAGAACUCGCCAUAACCAAUCUUAUCGCACAUCACCUGGAUGGAAGUAGAGAAAAAAGCCUCUCCGAUCAAAGCCCCUGCCAUUUCACUCUCUCUUUCACUCUCUGUUUUUCUUUUUUCUUCAAAGAAUUGUUGGAGGUGAGGAAGAAUAAGAGACCUUUAGGAUUUAUUGUUUCGGAAAGAGGCCGCUUGAUUUAAUUUUUGGUGAAGUGAAAUGUUAAGGAGACUCUCCAUAGAUUUUUCGUUACCUCAUAUUUUGACACAAUGUUUUAUAAUGUUAGCAUGUGAACUGUGCCAGAAACAUGAAGUGGCGGCGGAGAGUCCUUUAGAGAGAUUUUUCAGUGUACCCAGAACACGAGGUAGUACACUAAGUGUCACUAUGCAUGUGGUGAGAUAUUUGUGUUAAAAAUUUAACAACUUUAAAAAAUAAAAAAUAAAGCUUUUCUUCACUUAUAUAAUAACACGAUGUGUACAUUGUGUUCUGGUCGUAAUGAAAAUUUUCUCCACUUUUGAGAGAAUCUCCUUAACUUUUCUCUUUGGUAAAUAAUUGUGUGGACCCCACAAGUACCAUGUAGUCUUAAUUCCCUGUAAUUUAAGUGACAAUUUCCUAUUAGUUGGUUGGUGUGAGAAUGAGAGAGUAUGGGUUGGAUGACCUUCAAUCGGCUUCCUUCCAGGGAGACAAGGGCGGAGCUACCAUGGGCCUAGGGGCGGAUGCCCUCACUGAGAUUUUUCUGAUGUUGGCAUGCUGCUCAAACUCAUCUGGUUCUGCAGCAGCAAAGCCCCCACUGCGAUUUUUUUGUUCCUCCGAUCUGGUUAUGCAGAAGCAGAGCUGGGUGUUAAUUUUUUUUUUCAAAACCAGGCCAAAGGCAAAAUGAACCUCAGUUCCUCCGAUCUGGUUCUGCAGAAGCCUGAUCUUUUUUUUUUUCAAAACCAGGCCAAAACGACGUCGUUUUGGUCCUGGUAAAAAAAUUAAAAAAAUGUAAACGAAACGGCGUCGUUUCGUAUAUGUUUGUUUUUUUUUUAAAAAAGUUAUGUUAUAUUAGGGGACCGCUUGUCCCCACGGUCCCAGACUCCCAUUUCCAUCCCUCCCUUUGUUUUCGUUGCCCUUUGCGCCGUACCAAUUAGAGAGCAGCUUGGUGCUGCUCUGUCUGUCUUCCCCCAACCAACACCUUGAAACGGAACGGAACAUGAGCAAAGUUGCUCUUCCCAGCCACUCCAGCCAGCCACUCUCUAGUCUAGCCGACAUAUAUAUAUAUAUAUAUUUAGGUAAAUUUUUUAAUUCCUAAAUCUAUAAUUCCUAACCCUAAUUAAUUAUUUAAGACGAAUUUUUGUUUAAUUUGUAUAGAAAUAUAGAAUCAUAUGGAUAUGGUAUGCACUAAUAUGGUUUUUGACUUAUUGAUUAUUGAUUAUUGAUAUGAAUUAUAUGAUUAUUGAUGAAUGAAAUUAUGAAAUUACGAAUUCUAUGAAUAUGGGUAUACAUUUAUUCAUAUGAUUAGUUGAAUUAAAUGUUUAUUUGUUGAAUAAUUUGUAUGCUUAUUGGUAUUGGUUAAUUAAAUUGUUGCCUUGGUUGGAUAUGGAUUAGUUAUUAGGCAUUUUUUUUUUUUUUUGGUUAAGAAAGCAUAUAUAUUAAUAUGGAUAACAUUGUCAACAUCUCCAAGAAAACUCAAUUCUACGGCUUAACAGUCUAAAAACAAAUCCAUUUUUCAAAAAUGGAAUCAUAAUCAUCCCCUUUCGAAACCCAAAAAAGAAAAAGAAAUGGAUUAGUUAUUAGGCAUAUUAGUAUAGUAUACUCUAGGAUUAAGAGUCUAAGAAUUUUAUUGAGAUUUUUAUUCUAUAAAUUCUACAAAUUACGUAUGAACCUUAUAUGUUAUUGGCAUAUGACUAACUUUGUAGGCUGAAACAUCAUGGAGAGGUUUUUCAAAAAAAUAUCAGUGCCGCCAUCCCCAGUUAUUGAGAAAAUAAUGAUACUCGGGGACAUGAUAGUGCAUAAUUUAUUUUAUCAAAUCUUCCAUUAGAUCCUGGUAAGCGAAUUCGAAUUUUGGAUUACAAUCCUAAUAUUCGAGAUCAAGCACGAAGAGCGUAUGUGCUAGCUGGUCCUCAACAACCUAAAACCCAUAAUUUUCCUUACAAGAAAUAUGGAGACACGCAAAGACGAUUCAACCCUGCUUGGUUUGAUGAUUUUCCUACUUGGUUGGAAUAUAGUGUAGAAAAAGAUGCUGUCUUUUGUCUGUGUUGCUACCUUUUUAAACCAAACAUUGGACAACAAGCAGGUGGUGAUUUCUUUGUUGGCGAAGGAUUUUCUAACUGGAAGAAGAAAGAAAGACUUCUAACUCAUAUUGGAAGCGUCAAUAGUGCACACAAUCAAGCGUGGAGUAAUUUUGAAGCUUUAAGGAGUCAAAAGCAACAUAUCCAGUCUUUUUUCUCUAAAACUCAUGAUGAAGCUCGAACUCAAUAUAGAGCUCGGUUGAAUGCAUCAAUCGAUUGUUGUCGAUUUCUUUUGAGACAAGGGCUUGCAUUUCGUGGUAAUGAUGAAUCUGAACAUUCAAGCAACCAUGGAAACUUUCUUGAGCUUCUAUAGUUUCUUGCUGACCACAAUGAGGAUGUGAAAGCCGUUACUUUGAAAAAUGCUCCAGAAAAUCACAAAUUGACAUCACCAGAUAUUCAAAAAGACAUUGUAAAUGCUUGUGCAACUGAGACGAUCAAGGCUAUUAUUGAAGACGUUGGCACUUCGUUAUUCUCUAUUUUGAUUGAUGAAUCUCGUGACGUAUCAACGAAGGAACAAAUGGCUAUUGUAUUGCGUUAUGUGGACAAGAAUGGGCAUGUCGUUGAGCGUUUUAUUGGCAUUGAGCAUGUUACUAGUAUCGCUGCUCUAUCACUCAAGGAAACCAUUGAUGAGGUAUUUUCUAGGCAUAAAUUGAACAUGUCUAGGUUGCGUGGGCAAGGUUACGAUGGGGCCAGCAAUAUGCAAGGUGAGUUCAAUGGUUUUAAAGCUCUUAUUAUGAAAGAAAGUGGUUGUGCCUAUUAUUCAUUGCUUUGCACAUCAACUUCAAUUAGCUCUUGUAGCUGUGGCAAAGAAGAACAUUCAAAUUGAGUCUCUUUUUAGUAUAGUUACUAUUUUGGUAAAUGUUGUUGGAGCUUCAUCGAAGCGUUGUGAUCUUCUUCGGGAGAAGCAAUCUAUUGCAGUUAUUGAAGCACUAAACAGUGGUGAGUUUACAAGUGGGAAAGGCAAAAAUCAAGAAACUACUUUGAAACGUGCUGGAGAAACACGUUGGGGUUCACACUUUGGUACUUUAGUAAGUAUAAUGACUAUGUUUUCAUCCAUACUUGAUGUACUUGAAGUAAUAGUAGAUUAUGGAGUAAGCUCUCAACAAAGAUGUGAAGCAAAUAAUUUAUUGGAUUCCAUGCAAUCAUUUGAUUUUGUGUUUAAUCUACAAUUGAUGAAAGAUAUACUUGGAAUAACCAAUGAAUUGUCACAAGCAUUGCAAAGGAAUGAUCAAGAUAUUGUAAAUGCUAUGAAGUUGGUUGGAGUUUGUAAGCAAAGGUUGGAGAUAAUGAGGAAAAGUGGUUGGGAUUCUUUACUCAAUGAAGUCUCAGAAUUUUGUCUUAAACAUGAUAUUGAUGUGCCUAAUAUGGAUGAUAUGUUUCUUUCUCGAAGGCGAGGGCAACGAAAAGCACAAGCAGUCACAAAUAUGCAUCAUUAUUGUGUUGGGAUAUUUUAUAUUGUUUUGGAUUGGCAGCUUCAACAACUAAAUAAUCAUUUCAAUGAGACCAACACUGAGUUACUUCUUUGUUUGGCAUGUUUAUGUCCAGCCGACUCCUUCUCUGCUUUUGAUAGCCAAAAGCUAUUGCGUCUUGCCCAGUUUUAUCCUAAAGACUUCUCUAUGAAUGAGCUGGUGAUACUUAAGAUUCAACUUGAGACGUACAUUGUGGAUAUGCGGUCUAGCAUUGAGUUUUCAGGUUUAAAAGAGAUUGGAGAUCUUGCAAAAAAAAUGGUUCAAUGCAAGAAACACAAGGUGUAGUCGCUGGUUUACUUGCUUGUGACAUUAGCACUAACUCUUCCAGUUGCUGCAACCGUUGAAAGAGCAUUUUCGGCCAUGAAAAUUCUGAAGAAUCGAUUGAGAAAUUGGAUGGGAGAUCAAUGGAUGAAUGAUAACAUGGUUAUUUUUAUAGAGAGAGAUAUUUGAUGGUAUUGGUAAUGAUGUUGUCAUGCAACGCUUUCAGAACAUGAAAACGCAUCGAGGGAUAUUGUAAAGGAUUGUUGUAUGAAAAACUUUAUGGAUUAAUAUAUAAGUAUUGUGUUUAGUAAAUUCUUGAGCUUUUUAAUUAUGACUUUGUUGUUUGAGGAUGCCCCCAUUCACACAAAUCUCUGGCUUCGUCCCUGCAGGGAGAAUACAAUAUGAAACUUUGAGAGUGAGAGAGUAUGUGCAUGCAUGAAACAGUUAAUCAUGUCUGGUGUCUCCUUGAACUAAAACAAACAACUAAGUUCGUAAUCAUAUACUCGAUUCAUUAUGUCUUCUAUAUAACUGCUCGAUCGAGCUUAAAAUUUAUAGUUAAUUUGUGUGCCUUUGGAUGGUAAUUAGCCAACGAAAAAUUUUAUUUGAACCCAUAUAACCUCUUUAUAUACUCAACUUACUCUUUGCACUCAUAUUACUUUUAAUUAAGUUUAUCAACAUCUCUUUAAACCAAUUUACUUCCUAAACUAUCCUCACAAACCCAAUUCAAAUGUAUAUAUUUAUCUUUACACCCCAUUUAAAAAAUAAAAACUCAAAAUAAGGGUAUCGCAACUCAUUCUACAUGUCACUCAAUCUUUUAUGAAGAUUAGUAUCGAACGGCAUUGUCAGCCAUGAAAUGUGCUUGAAGUUUUAAUUGAAUUUUUCCUCAUCACUAUUGAAGGAGACAAAAAUUAUCUCAAACUCUUUGCCUUCCACUCAAAGCAUUUCAUAAAGCCUCACCAUCUGAGAGGUAAGAGCCUUGCAAGGCCUACACCAAUUUGCAGAGAAGUAGAGGCACAUCAUCUUCCCAUUACAUUGACGACAAGAGUACCUAAUAAUCUUGUAAUUAAAACAAGAUUUUGUUUUAAUUAUGAUAAUCAGGAUAAAAAAUAAAUAAAUAAAUAAAUAAAAAGUCACCUCUAAAAUUGAAGCCAUAUUUUUCUAUGCUACAAACCUACUUGAAUAUCACGUUCCUAUAUUUUCAUGAAAUUGAAACAUUUUCAACAUCCAGCAACCGAAUUAAAUUAUGAUUGAUUGAAACAAGAGGAGGAAGGGGAAGCUUUGGCGACUAGAUACAUUUGUCUCACCAGAUAGAAGGAACUCAACACCUUCAAAUUCAAGGACAAUCACUAUAUUGCUGCUAUCUGCCAUCAGAACUACAAGCAAAGUAUGGCUUCCACCCUUCACGAAUGAAACGAAAAGAAAGCUUGACAUUCACACAAGUAGCUAGACUUUAAAAUUUUAAAUCUCAUAUAUGUUUUUGCUAGUAAUUAUGCUUUGAAAAAUGGGUAGAUUGUGAAAUCAAACGAUAAAAAUAAAAAUAAAAAACAACAACAACAACUUGCACAAAUCGAUUCAUACCUUAGUUGGAGGAUUCAAAACUUCAAAAUCAUCAUCCAUCAUUCAAAAAGAGCUUGUCUUUCUCUAUUUAGAGUUUUAGCUAGAAUGAACAUAGGAUAAAGAUUUCUUGAUGCUAGGUUUGAUUAUUGGGUAUGAGUUUAUUGAUAAAUCUGUUAGUUUUAUUGUUAAUUUCAUUUUGUACUUAAUGGUAAUUAUGCAAUACGGUAAAAAUAACAAUUCACAUUUAAAGUUUAAGUUGGGAGUAGAAUUGGGAGUAGAAAGAGGCUGCAUUGGUUGAAAUAAAAUUUUCCUUAACCAAAUCAUCACUGAUGUCUUGUUAAUACUACAAGUCGCAUUGGAAUUUUGCUUGUAGACAGGCGGAUACAACACAUGAUCAGUUAAAUUGAUUACCUAAUUAAUUAAGAUUAAGAUUGGAAUCUUUUGUUGAUUAAUUUUUGAGAAUGCAAAUAACAGCUCCCUAUUAUUUUUGCAUGAUUAAUUUUUGAGAAUGCAAAUAACAGCUCCCUAUUAUUUUUGCAUGAUUAAUUUUUGAGAAUGCAAAUAACAUCUCCCUAUUAUAAGUUAUAUACAAAAACGCUAAAGCAAGUUCAGACAAAAGGGUCUAUUACAAGAGUUUGCUACCUAUUAGUACGGGUGUUUCGGCUCGAGAUAUCGAACCGAAAAGCAUAACCCGAAUCUUGAACCAAUUCCUUUUGGAACAGGAUUUCGAAAACUGAAACCAAACCAAAAGUUUGGUAUUCCCAAAUCUUAAGAUUCUAAAAAAAUUUCGGUAUUUCAGUAUGAGUCAGAAAAAUUUUAAAAGCUUAAAAAAGUAAGAUAUACAACAUAUAAAACAAUACCCAUUUGAGCAAACUACAAAAUUAAAGUAUGAAAACACAAAAAGCAAUGAAAUUUAUACAAACAAAGCUUUGUGAAACUGAAAAUUGAAUCGAAAUUAUUGUUUCAGAAAGAGAAGACUUGACAUAUUUUUUGGUCAAUAAUUCAGUGGACCCCACACGUUAAUCAUAGUCUUAAUUCUCGGAAAGAGAUCCUCUCUUAAUCUCUCAUUCCAAAGCCUAGGGAUCAAAUGAUCCGGGCCUUUAAAAUUUUGAUCAAACGGCCGAAAUUAUUAUAGCUUUUAAAACUUUUUACUAACUUCUCUGUUUUUAGCCGUUAGAUCAAAUUUUAAAAACCCAGAUUACUUAAUCACUGAGCUUUGGAGGAAGAGAUCUGGAUAACAUCUCUUUCCUUAAUUCUCAAUAAUCUAACUGACAAUUUCCUAGUAGUAGGUGGUCAAUUCGCUGGACCGCAAACGUUAAUCAUAGAGUCUUUUAUUGCCUAUAAUUUAAGUGACAAUUUCCUAGUAAUUGGUUGGUGUGAGAGUCACAGAGUGUGGGUUUGGUGACUUUCGAGGACAUUACUCUAUGAGACUUUGAAUUAUCUUCUUUGUGAGUAGAAUGAGGAUCCGAGGAAAUCUUAAAUCGUGUCCGUUCAUCAUACAUCGUGCGGUCAGAAAUCAUUUUAAAUACUUUUAUUUUAAAUUAAAUAUGAAUAGUAUUUGACCAAAACUAACCACAUGAUAUACGAUGAACGAACACGAUUUAAGGAUUCCUAGAAUUCUCAUAAAGAAGAUCCGGAGAGGAUCCUCCUGUAUGAGUGUGGAUGCAUGAAACAGUUAAUCAUGUCAGAUGUGUCCGUGAACUAAAACAAACAACUCAGUUCGUAAUCAUAUACACAAUUUAUAAUGUCUUCUAAAUGACUACUCGACCGAACUCAAAACUUAUAGUUUAAUUUUUAUGUGCCUUUGGAUGGUAAUUAACCAGAAUAUCACUGUUAUCUUGUUGAUGCUAAAAUUUGCGUUGAGAUUUUGCUUUUAGACGGGCAGACACAACACGUGAUCAGUCAAAUCGAUCACCUAAUUAAUUAAGAUUAAGAUUGGAAACUUUCGUUUUUUUUUUUUAUGUUAUCAUGUCAUCAAGCAUGUUAGUUAAAGAUUCGGAACAAAGAGAAAGCGACCAUUUGUGAGUCACCAAUUGCAAUAGUUAUUGUUGGCAAGAAGAAAGAUGUUAAGCUAUAUCAAAUGAUUGUACAUAUACUGUAAUCUUGUAUAUUAAAUCAAGAACAAAGGAGAUAGAGAGAGAGACUAGAGAGAGAAGUUAGAGAGAGAGAGAAGAACAAUCUGAUAUAUUUCUUACUGAUUAAGUAAUUACAUGAUGAGUUCUUAUAUAUAUAGUUACAGAUAACAACUAAAUAACUACUACAUUAAGAUUAUGACAAGUGUCACAAUCUAAAGCACUAUACUCUAACAUCCCCCCUCAAGAUCAUGCUUUGAGGAACCAAACAUGAGAUUGCUGCAAUGAGUUCUGAAAAGAGGACCACUUAAGCCCUUUGUAAGAAUAUCGGCAAACUGCUCUUGGGAAGACACAAACUGCACUGAUAGUUGUUUUUGCAUUGAUAGUUGUUUCUGUGAUACCUUUUCAUGAACAAAAUGCACGUCGACUUCGAUGUGCUUGGUCGUUUGAUGCUGAACAGGGUUGAAAGACAAGGCAAUUACUGACAGAUUGUCACAAAAGAGUACAGGCACACUAGGUAGGGGAAUGUGCAGAAAGACUAAUAACUGUUUGAUCCAAUCCAACUCAACUGAUGUAAACGAUAAAGCUCGGUAUUCAGAUUCUGUUAAGGAUCGAGAAACAGUUUGUUGCUUCUUAGAAUACCACGAAAUCGGAUUGUUACCCAAAAAGACCACCAAACUAGUAGUAGAUCUCUUGUCAUUAGGGUCCCCUGCCCAAUCAGCAUCACUAAAAGCCUUCAACUGUAAAUCUCCUAUAAUAUAUGAUAUACCAAACUGCAUUGUUCCCUUCAGAUAUCGUAAGAUACGUUUAACUGCAGUAAAAUUGGACAACAUUGGAUUCUACAUAAACUGACAGACUUGGUGCACAGAAAAGGCAAUGUCGGGCCGUGUGAAAGUUAAGUAUUGUAGAGCCCCUACAAUACUUCUAUACAACUUAGGAUUGGAAUAAGGUUCCCCAUCCUCUUUGAGUAACCUGUUGUAAGGAAGACAUGGUGUAUCACAGGGUUUGGCUUCAAACAUUUCAGAUUUAAUCAACAAAUCCUGAACAUAUUUGGUUUGUGACAGAAACAAACCAGUUGCAGUUUUAGUGAUUUGAAUCCCUAAGAAAUAGUGGAGUAACCCUAAGUCCUUGAUAUCAAACUCAGUAGUGAGAGCACUAAUAACCUGUGUAAUUGCACUAGAAGCACUGCCAGUUAUAAUGAUGUCAUCCACAUAGAGAAGCAACACCACAAUUUCAUAACCAACAUGCUUAACAAAUAAAGAUGAGUCAAAAUAUGUGUUCUCAAAUCCCAAAUAAGGAAGAAACUGAGUAAAUCGUUCAUUCCAGGCCCUAGGAGCCUGUUUUAGACCAUAUAGGGAUUUAUGCAGCUUACACACGAGAUGAGGAUGAUUUGGAUCUUCAAAACCAGGAGGUUGAGACAUGUACACCUCCUCUUGUAGGAUGGCAUGCAGGAAUGCAUUUUUAACAUCUAAUUGUCGAAUAGACCAAUUAAAAUGUGCAGCAAGAGCAAGAAUUAUCCGUACUAUGGUAGGUUUCACCACAGGGCUAAAAGUCUCCCCAUAAUCCAAUCCAGGUUCUUGACUGAAGCCCUUAGCAACUAAUCGUGCUUUGUGUUUGGCAAUAGACCCAUCUGAGUGUUUCUUAAUCUUGAAAAUCCAUUUACAUCCAACCAGGUUCUUGUUUGCUGGUAAUUGAACUAGACUUCAAGUGCCUUGAGCAUGUAAGGCAUUAACUUCUUCUUUCAUAGUUGCUAACCACACAGGGACUUUGAUUGCAGACUUAUAGCUAACUGGUUCAACCAAGGAUAUAUCAGUUCCCCCAGAGUCCUGAACACUCGCUAAGAGAGCCUUCUUUUUAAAAAUCCCACUCUUGCUUCUGGUUUGCAUGAUAUGCAAAUUUAGUGGAGAAAUGGACAAAAAUACUUGCAAAGUAUCAAGAUUAAAAUCAGGUGGUCCUGAUCCAGAAUUGGGACUUAUGUCAGGUACCACAGGGAUCUGAGAAGAGGCUUGAAUUGGAGCAGUAAUAGACUGAGAACUUGGAGAAAUUUCAGGUAAAUCUGAGGCAGAAGGUGUUACUGAUGAUGAUGUAGGUAUAUGUGAUGAUGCAGGGAUAGAAAUACUAAAAUGAUGAUGAGGGGAAUUUGGGAUAAAUGGGACAACUCUAUUAUUUGGAGUAACUAUAGCCACAUGACAGUUGAAACUAGGACAGACUUGUGGUGAUGGAACUAUGUUGCAAGAUGUAGUCAAUAAUUCUGUAUAGGGAAAAUGUUGUUCAUCAAAAAUAACAUGCCUAGAAACAAACAGUUUCUUUGUAGACACCUGAUAGCACAGAUAGCCUUUAUAUUUUGUGGCAUACCCAAGAAACACACACUUUUUAGUUUUGGCUUGCAAUUUGGUACUAUUAUAUGGUUUGAGUAAAGGAAAACAGGCACAUCCAAAAAUUCGAAGAUGUGUAAGAAUUGGAUAUGUCCCAAAUAGGAUCUCAAAAUGAGAUUUGUUAUGAAGAACAACAGUAGGCAUUCGAUUGAUUAGAUAUGUGGUUGUUUGACAAGCAUAGGACCAGAACUGAGAUGGCAACUUGGCUGUUUAAAAUAGGGUGAUGGUGGUUUCAAUGAUAUGCCUAUGCUUCCUCUCAGCUACCUCAUUUUGUUCAAGGGUAUAUGGACAAGAUAGGUGAUGUGAAAUGCCUUGUGCAAGGAGAAAAUGUUUUAAUUUGUUGCUGGUAUACUCUCCCCCCUAUCAGAUUUAAGAAUUUUAAAUGUGGCAGAAAACUGAGUAACAACAAAUGAAUGAAAGGCAACAAAUGUAGAGAACAAAUCAGACUUGUUUAUUAAUGGGAAAAUCCAGCAAUAUCUGGUACAUUCAUCGACAAAGAUGGUGUAGUAUUUAUAACCAUCAACUUAUAUACAUGGUGCAAGACCCCACAAAUCAGUAUGAAUAGUUUCAAAAGGAAUGACAGACUUAUUGACAUGCUUUGGAAAAGGUAGUUUGCUAAAUUUCCCUUCUAGACAGGUAUAACAUAGCAUAGGUAAUGAGGUUUUGGGGACAGGUACAUUAGCUUGAUUCAACAUCAGAGAAACAACAUUAUUUGAUGAUUUUUGUUUUUGGAAAUGCCUUAGCUUGAUAAGUCUUCUGUAAAUUGGAUGUUGACAAAGAGUGGAUAAGAUACAGCCCAUUACUGCACAAGCCUCUGUAAAGGAUCCUCCAUGUGGCUUUGUCCUAAAUCCAAAAACAAAAAUCAUCAAAUAUAAGCCAACAAUUAUUGUCAAGGCAAAUUCGAUGUACUAAUAACAGGUUCUGAGUUAAUUGAGGAACAUAGAGCACAGAGUUCAAUUUGAUUGGAUAUGGUGAGGCUAGUGACAGAUUAGUCAAAUCAACUAUCAUAUGAUUGGUGGCACCAGAAUCAGUGAGCCAUACUUGAGAAUGACCUGAAGAACUUGAUGACUGAGGUGCAGAAUUUAGCACUGUGUGCAUGGCUUGCAUAGGGGGUUGUUGUGCAUGAAACUGAGAAGGUGUCAAUGAAGAAUGCUAAGGUGGAGCUUGAUAUGAAUUGUACUGAAAAUUUUGUGGUUGCAUAGCAUAGAAUGACUGUGGAGAAAAAGAAGCAGUGAUAUGCAUCCCAAUUAGGCCUGGCAAUUCCUGACACAACCCGAUAACCCGACACGACACGACACGAAAUUAACAGGUGUUCGGGUCGACACGAUAACGAAACGGGUCGUUAUCGGGUAACCCGAUAAGCACCUGUUAAAAUAACGGGUUUGUUCGGGUAUACACGUGGGUAACACGAUACACGAUAAGCAGAAUAUUAAUUUAAUAAUUUAUAACCCUAAAAAAAUACUAUAAUAAUUAUAUAUAUAUUAAUUUAACAAUUUUAUACCCCUAAAAACUAUAAUUAUAUAUAUAUAUAUAUAUAUAUAUAUUAAAUUAACUAUAAUAAUAUAUAAUUUAUAUAUACUAUAAUAAUUAUACCCAAAAUAUUAACUAUAAUAAUUAUAUAUAUAUAUAUAUAUAUAUAUAUAUUAAAUUUUAUACCCCUAAAAACUAUAAUAAUUAUACAUACAAAAUAAAUAGAUUUAAAUCUACUUAAUAAAUAAAUAUAUAUACACACACACACACCAUUGAACUUCAUGGGAUACGAAUUAUACGAAACUAAUUUCAACGAUCCAACCGUCAAACAUGUUUGUAUAUCGCAUACGCCAAAAAUUGCAAAAAAACAAACAUUCAGAGAGCAAGUAACGGGAUAAAACUUUUCGACGGUUAUAAACGAAAAAUCACGAUUUAACGGUCAUUUAACUCCGAUUUUGAUGAUUUUUUACAACCACACUCCUUGACCCUAUAUGAAUACAAUGAUUGAAUUCGAUCUUCAAUUUAAAAUAUUUACACUAGUGGAUACCACAAAAUCUUAUGUUAUACUUAAUAAAAGUAUGAAUAAACUCUUAAGUAUUAGUGAAUCUAUUGUUUUGAUGGGAUACUCAUUCUACAAAACUAGUUUCAAUGAUCCAACCGUCAAACAUGUUUGUAUAUACUUUGAGAUCGCAUACGCCAAAAAUUGCAAAAAACAAACAUUCAGAGAUCAAGUAAUGGGACAAAAGUUUUUGACAGUUAUAAACGAAAAAUCACGAUUUAACGGUUAUUUUAACUCCGAUUUUGAUGAUUUUUUACAACUACACUCCUUGACCCUAUAUGAAUACAAGUAAUGAAUUCGAUCUUAAAUUUAAAAUAUUUACACUAGUUCUUAUGUUAUACUUAAUAAAAGUAUGAAUAAACUAUUAAGUAUUAGUGAAUCUAUUGUUUUGAUGGGAUACUCAUUCUACGAAACUAGUUUCAAAGAUCCAACCGUCAAACAUGUUUGUAUAUACUUCGAGAUUGCAUACGUCAAAAAUUACAAAAAACAAACAUUCAAAGAUCAAUUAACGGGACAAAACUUUUCGACGGUUAUAAAAGGAAAAAUCACGAUUUAACGGUCAUUUUAACUCUGAUUUUGAUGAUUUUUUGCAGCUACACUCCUUGACCUUAUAUGAAUACAAUGAUUGAAUUCGAUCUUCAAUUUAAAAUAUUUACACUAGUGGAUAUCACAAAAUCUUAUAUUAUACUUAAUAAAAGUAUGAAUAAACUAUUAAGUAUUAGUGAAUCUAUUGUUUUGAUGGGAUACUCAUUCUACGAAACUAGUUUCAAUGAUCCAACCGUCAAACAUGUUUAUAUAUACUUCGAGAUUGCAUACGCCAAAAAUUGCAAAAAACAAACAUUCAGAGAUAAAGUAACGGGACAAAACAUUUCGACGGUUAUAAACGAAAAAUCACGAUUUAACGGUCAUUUUAACUCCGAUUUUGAUGAUUUUUUACAACUACACUCCUUGACCCUAUAUGAAUACAAUGAUUGAAUUCGAUCUUCAAUUUAAAAUAUUUACACUAGUGGAUACCACAAAAUCUUAUGUUAUACUUAAUAAAAGUAUGAAUAAACUCUUAACUAUUAGUGAAUCUAUUGUUUUGAUGGGAUACUCAUUCUACGAAACUAGUUUCAAUGAUCCAACCGUCAAACAUAUUUUUAUAUAUUUCGAGAUAGCAUACGCCAAAAAUUGAAAAAAAAAAACAUUCAGAGAGCAAGUAACGGGACAAAACUUUUCGACGGUUAUAAACAAAAAACCACGAUUUAACGGUUAAUUUAACUCCGAUUUUGAUGAUUUUUUACAACUACACUCCUUGACCUUAUAUGAAUACAAUGAUUGAAUUCGAUCUUCAAUUUAAAAUAUUUACACUAGUGGAUACCACAAAAUCUUAUGUUAUACUUAAUAAAAGUAUGAAUAAACUCUUAAGUAUUAGUGAAUCUAUUGUUUUAAUGGGAUACUCAUUCUACGAAACUAGUUUCAAUGAUCCAACCGUCAAACAUGUUUGUAUAUAUUUUGAGAUCGCAUACGCCAAAAAUUGCAAAAAAAAAACAUUCAGAGAUCAAGUAACGGGACAAAACCUUUCGACGGUUAUAAACGAAAAAUCACGAUUUAAUGGUUAAUUUAACUCCGAUUUUGAUGAUUUUUUACAACUACACUCCUUGACCUUAUAUGAAUACAAUGAUUGAAUUCGAUCUUCAAUUUAAAAUAUUUACACUAGUGGAUACCACAAAAUCUUAUGUUAUACUUAAUAAAAGUAUGAAUAAACUAUUAAGUAUUAGUGAAUCUAUUGUUUUGAUGGGAUACUCAUUCUACGAAACUAGUUUCAAAGAUCCAACCGUCAAACAUGUUUGUAUAUACUUCGAGAUCGCAUACGUCAAAAAUUACAAAAAACAAACAUUCAGAGAUCAAUUAACGGGACAAAACUUUUCGACGGUUAUAAAAAGAAAAAUCACGAUUUAACGGUCAUUUUAACUAUGAUUUUGAUGAUUUUUUUGCAGCUACACUCCUUGACCUUAUAUGAAUACAAUGAUUGAAUUCGAUCUUCAAUUUAAAAUAUUUACACUAGUGGAAACCACAAAAUCUUAUAUUAUACUUAAUAAAAGUAUGAAUAAACUAUUACGUAUUAGUGAAUCUAUUGUUUUGAUGGGAUACUCAUUCUACGAAACUAGUUUCAAAGAUCCAACCGUCAAACAUGUUUGUAUAUACUUCAAGAUCGCAUACGUCAAAAAUUACAAAAAAAAAACAUUCAGAGAUCAAGUAACGGGACAAAACGUUUCGACGGUUAUAAACGAAAAAUCACGAUUUAACGGUCAUUUUAACUCCGAUUUUGAUGAUUUUUUAGAACCACACUCCUUGACCCUAUAUGAAUACAAUGAUUGAAUUCGAUCUUCAAUUUAAAAUAUUUACACUAGUGGAUACCACAAAAUCUUAUAUUAUACUUGAUAAAAGUAUGAAUAAACUAUUAAGUAUUAGAGAAUCUAUUGUUUUGAUGGGAUACUCAUUCUACGAAACUAGUUUCAAUGAUCCAACCGUCAUACAUGUUUAUAUAUACUUCGAGAUUGCAUACACCAAAAAUUGCAAAAAACAAACAUUCAGAGAUCAAGUAACGGGACAAAACUUUUCGACGGUUAUAAACGAAAAAUCACGAUUUAACGGUCAUUUUAACUCCGAUUUUGAUGAUUUUUUACAACUACACUCCUUGACCCUAUAUGAAUACAAUGAUUGAAUUCGAUCUUCAAUUUAAAAUAUUUACACUAGUGGAAACCACAAAAUCUUAUGUUAUACUUGAUAAAAGUAUGAAUAAACUCUUAAGUAUUAGUGAAUCUAUUGUUUUGAUAGAAUACUCAUUCUAUGAAACUAGUUUCAAUGAUCCAACCGUCAAACAUGUUUGUAUAUAUUUCGAGAUCGCAUACGCCAAAAAUUGCAAAAAACAAACAUUCAGAGAGCACAUAACGGGACACAACUUUUCGACGAUUAUAAACGAAAAAUCACGAUUUAACGGUUAAUUUAACUCCGAUUUUGAUGAUUUUUUACAACUACACUCCUUGACCUUAUAUGAAUACAAUGAUUGUAUUCGAUCUUCAAUUUAAAAUAUUUACACUAGUGGAUACCAUAAAAUCUUAUGUUUAUACUUAAUAAAAGUAUGGUAUAGUACUAUUGUUUUAUUUUUUUCAUAAUUAUUUUGGUAAACUUCUCAUAAUUUGAAUGAUUUUUAAUGUUUGAUUUUUCUAUGCUUAGUUUAUGCAGAAGAUAGUUAUGACGUGGAAAACCUUACUGAAAACAUCAUCAACAUAACUCUUGAAGGCAAUAGAUCAAGUCAAAGUUCCAAUGCAAUUUCAUGAUGAUCGAUGUAAAUCGAGGAUUUUGUAAAUUGAGGUUUAAACUUUUGAGAAAGAUUUCACAACCUUGAAAACAAAAACUGUUUCAUUUUGCAUAUCCUUGCACAUUUAAAAUUUGUAAUAGAUUCGUAGUGUAUGUAUUAUUUUUUUAUUAGGCUCUUAUUUUCGAGUGUAGAUGUAGUACUUAAACGACAAAUGUGUUUUAAUAUUUUGAAGUAAUAUUUAUGUGGCAAUGUGUGGUAUGUGCAAAUUUAAGAAAAAAUAUAUAUUUUUCUUAACGGGUCAUAACGGGUCAUAACGGGUCGGGUCACUUUACCCGUUGGGUAAAGUGACACGACCUGUUAAGGACCCGUUAAGAUAACGGGUGUGACACGACACGACCCGUUAAGAUAACAGGUGUUACACGAAAACGACACGAACACGACUGACACGACCCGUUUGCCAGACCUAAUCCCAAUGUAGUUUGGACCCUUAUGAUUAUAGAAGCAAUACCAAGUGGUAUGAUUACUUCUACCAUAUAUGUGAUAUUUGGUUUUCUCGUGUGAAGAGGAGCCACAGAAUGGGGCAGUGUGUCCCUCCGAAUUGCACAACUGACAAAUUUGAAGCAUAGAUGCAGAAGGACUUCCAAACUGUUGACUAGGUGAUUGACCAAGAACUCCAGGAUUAGAGUUGGGAAGCACAUGUGCCAUAGGGAAAACACGAGUCUAGAAUUAUAAAAUCUUGAGCCCUGAUUGAAUCAGCAUUUACCCUUGUUCUUGUUCCCAUUAUAAGGUUUAAAACCUCCAGUGACCACCUGAGAUUGACCAUGAUUAGGAGAGAAACCCUGAGAUUGAACAAGAAGCCUCUUUUGUGUAAGUGGAACCUGUAUUAGCAACCAUAGCUGUCAUAAAAGGAGUAUUAACUGAAGUUUCAACAAUGGUUUUCUCUGCAAGUAACUGUGAUCGAAAAUCUUUUAGUGAAAUCACACUUUCACGCCCCCUUAUAACACACAUGAAAGUGUUAUACUCAGCAGGUAAUCCAUUCAAAGCAAGAAUAACAAUGUCUUCAUCCGCAAAAUAAACCUCAACAGCAGAUAGAUAGUCCCUAGCUUCCUUAAUGCGGUGAAGAUAUUGAGAAAUCGAAUUUGUCCCCUUUUUAAUUGUUUGCAAAUUGGAUUUCAUUUGAAAAAUGCUAGUCCUAGAUACAGUGGAGAAUUGUUCCUUUAACCUAAUCCAUAAAUCCUUAGAGCUAGUACUACCAAUCGCACAGGACAUAGCAAUAGGUGAUAAUGUUGCAGUAAUCAAUUGCAUAAUAACUCUGUCGUGCAUUUUCCAUACUAUGUAUUCAUCAGUCUGAGAAGAAGACAAGAUACCAGAUUCGCUGGAGUUCGAAGCAUGUUGAGAUGGACAAGCAAUCGAACCAUCAACAUACCCCAUGAUGCCAUUGCUUUCAAGCCAAAGUUGCAUCUGAAAGUUCCAAUUGAGGUAGUUCGAAUCAUCAAGCUUGACAUUAACCGACGUAGAAAUGGAGGAAAUAAGGCCCGUAAUUGGGGAUUGAAGCAGCUAGAGUUGCGAAGCGGUCACCAUCGUGAUUUCAAGAUCAACUCAUCAGUGAGACAAUACAACAAACACUAGGUGUGCAGAUUUCAGCAAGUGCCGAUCAAAUCUUAGAAAUUUCAGAAAGCAGAAAUUGGAGAAGACGAAGUGUCGAAUUAGAGAAAGAAAACCAAUCCGAAUCAGAGAAUGCGGAAGCAACAGAUGAUCGAAUCUUCAAGCGUAAGCAAUAAUGGCGAUUGAUAUCAUGUUAAGCUAUAUCAAAUGAUUGUACAUAUACUGUAAUCUUGUAUAUUGAAUCAAGAACAGAGGAGAUAGAGAGAGAGACUAGAGAGAGAAGUUAGAGAGAGAGAGGAACAAUCUGAUAUAUUUCUUACUGAUUAAGUAAUUACAUGAUGAGUUCUUAUAUAUAUAGUUACAGAUAACAACUAAAUAACUACUGCAAUAAGAUUAUGACAAUUGUCACAAUCUAAAGCACUAUACUCUAACAAAAGAAACCAUCACCAAAGUCCAAAAAUAUCUUUAUAAUUCUUUAUAGUUUGUGUGGAAAUCGUCUAUUAUUGAUGAUGAUCGCAUAUUUUACUAUUUAUUUACUCCAAAAUUUGCAUUUUUCUUGUGACUUGUUGGAUUUAAAUGAAAGCAUUUACACGUUUUUUUGUGCCUUUAUGGUUAGGCAAAGGAGAUGACUAAAUUGCAUUAUAUUUAUAUGAUUUUGUUGAGUUAAAUGGAACUAUUGCCAUUCAUAUUUUGAAUGCAAGGAUGUCUUUAUCUUUUGUUUAAGAGAAUGGCACUGUUUAAUUGGCUUGCACAAAGAGAGGACUAUUUAACAUUUUGUGAGGCUCCAUUAUUAUAAAGCUAAACUCACUCUCACUUAAAUCAUAUCCCAGUUUUCUAUUUUGACAAGGAAUAUUGAAAGGAGGUUUGACAAGUCAACAAAAUGUGGAACGCAUGCCUUACACGUGAUUUAUUCAAUUGCACAAAGGCUGGCCUUAUCAUCUCAUUUACACCAACAGAGGAAUGAAAGGCCUAACCCAAUUUUUCUGGAGCAAACCGCCACAUAUAAUUGCAGCAGAGCAAGGGGUUUAGGGUGAUCAAAUUAAAAAAGAGUGGAAACCCAACUUCCUAGAUCAAAUUCCAGUUUGAGGGUCUCAACCAAAGGUAUGAACAUGAGAUAUUUAUUUGAUGAUUUUGAUCUGUUGUGGAGAUUGGCCAAGUUGCAAAUCUGGUGGAUGUCCAUUUGGGAGAUGUGAUUGCCAGUCAACACUUAGCAGAUCAUUGAAGAGGAAACUUAAGGAGGGUUGCUACUGCAAUGAAUUGACUCAGAGGUAUGAGGCUAGGGGUUAUGGCAGUGAGAUAUCAAUGAGAAGGAGUUGAAGUUUCUUCCAUUUCUCUUCAUUCAUUCUUGUCAAUUAAUGGGUUUUAAAACCUUUGUCGGUUACGGAAAAGGAAGGAGAAGUGGGAAGAAAAAAGAAAAGAGAAGAGAACUGAUUAAUAUUCUGGAGAAGAGGUAGGGGACUGACGGAAGACAAUUGCAGCGGCAGAGCACGGGGAUUUCAGGCUUUUCUAAACUUAGUUUUUCUUUUAUUUUUUUAUGAAUUCAAUCAUAUUUCCAGUUAUGUUUCAGAACUAAUUCUCCUUAGCUAGGGCUACGAUGUAGCCAUGACUAUGAAUACUUAAAUUAUGAAUUGAAUUAUUUUCAAGUUUUCAAUUUCAUUGCGUAUCGUUUGCUGUGCUUAUAUGCUUGGUUUUAGUCUUGGUGAUUAGCUACCAUCUUGACUUUUACUUAGUAAAUGUGAUGCAAGUUGUGCAGAUGCCAUGUUUUCAACUUGAGUGAUAGUUUCUUGCAAAUAGAUACCAUGAAUUACCUAGUAGUAGAUGCCAUACUCUAGGAUUUGUGUAGUCUUUAUAUAAAUUUCCACCGAUCGUAAUGAGUUUCAUGAUGUUAAACUAUUUCAGAUGCCAUGGAUGGUUGCAAAUUGGGAUAUACGUAAUAGUCUAGAUGCCAAAGAUAUUACAUGAAUUAGAGAAAUUUGACUAUCAAUGAGAUUAAGUACUUGUUAAUAAUUCACUGUAGAAAAUAAGUUGGAUUGGUUAUGGUGAGUCGGAUGCUCUAACGUUUUACUCGACUGAUUUGUGUUCUUGGCUGCCACUUUUUGCAUUGUGAUUAAACUUUCUUGUUUUCAUUUGUUUUUACUAUUAGUUUCAAUACUCAUAUCCAUCUUUCAUCAAUCUUUGCUAAUUUUACUUCGUUGCAAUUGGACUUAAGUUAGUUGAUGAAUUAAAUCAUUUUCUGAGGGACGAUAUUAAGUGCUUGCUUUCUACACUAUCAAACGUUUCGUACGCUUGCGAGAUAAAAUUUGGAACUAAGUUGGACUAAUUUCGGUUAGUUUAAAUUUCGCAACAAUUGACCAAGUCCACAGCCAACAUGGAGUUUCUCUCCUUUCCCACUAAAUCAAAAGAAUUAAAAGAAUGGAAGAAAAAAAAAUAAUACUAGAGAGACAACAUAAAGUUUUCCAAAAAAAAAAAGCCACUACAUAACAAGGACCUCCCAUCAAUAGGUCGAGUAAAGUUUGCCUCGCAUUUCUGCGAUAAUCUAUGUAGUCGCCGAUAUAGGUCUGCUACAUCUAUCGUAUUUUUGUGACAGAUUUAUAUUGAUGAAGUUUUGUGGGUAGGACAAUGCUUGUGGUAAGCGCAUAGGGGUUUACUGUAGUUUGUUUCAUAGUGCAAAUUUACUCUGGAUCAAUUUCUGGAUCAUUGGAGCCCAUAUACCCGAUUGGCAACCUCUGUAAGUGUUUGUGAAGUUCAAUGAAAUACCACUCUAUCGUUUUUUGUGAAAACAAAAAACAAAAUACAAAAAAAACAAAAGAGUUAUUUGCGUAUUUGAAAUUUGAUGUAAACCAUCAAACAAUGGAUCAUCUAAUUUAACCGAUUAAUUUUUGGUUUAUUGUUAUUCUCUUCCCAAAGUUUGAACAGAUUCCAAGUUCGCAUUUGUUGGAGGUAGGCUAGGUUUAAUAUAAUUAAACUUCAAAUAAAAACAAUGCUCAAUGAUAAAGAAGAAAAAGUUGUAUGAUUGACCUAAUUAUAUAAAUAAGAAGACCAUAUCCCACAUUCCGAACAUUAAGAUAAAAUUGUAUUAAAUAUAUGUAAGUUUUGAAGUCAGUUCCCAAAAUAAAUAAAUAGUGCUAAUUGUAUUAUUAUUAUUGAUCACCAAAGACCAAACCAUACCGUUAACGUUGGCGUAAUAGUGAGGAAGGCUGUAGAUCGAUGUAGACAGGGCACCAAAGACCAAACCGUACUAUUUAUAUAUAUGUAAAUAUAUUGUGUACCUUUUACACUUCUUUUAUCAAUGCUUGAUGGUUCAAGUGGUAAGGAGCUUAUUCUCCUUAAGCACGGUUCGAGCCUUGUGAAUGGAGUAGCCAUCAUUGGGAGAGCUUGCCCCUCGAAUGGGGUCCGAUCUGGCUCGAGGGAUUAGUCUACGCCUACGUGCAGGGGAUACCCUGGAUUCAUCUAAAUAUGAAAGUGGGAAUUUUCUAUUGUUUGUGCAAAUCAAAUAGCUUGUAGACAGUGGCAGAUUCAGGAUUCGCACUUCGGGGUUCUCCAAUGUUAAAUACAAGUUUUUGGAUGAAAACAGAGCGUCAAACGUGCAAAAAAAAUUGAUUCUAUUCACAUAGGCAUUCGUCUAAUACUUGGUGGGUUUGUUGUCGUCAACCAAAUCAUAUUGUGCACACGCAACAGAUUUCGAAUCCAUCUUCGGGCAUGUGUUACCCGCUGGACUUGGUUAGUGGUUGAGUUGUUUUUGGUAAUUGUUACACAUCGCAUCAUAUGCCAAAACAAUCUAAUGAGUAAUAUAGAGAGAAUUUGUCGAUUGUUGUCGACGCAAUCUAUCAAGAUAUACAUAGAAGAUAUUACAUCGAACACUUGAUGGGCACACAAGGAACACAUACCAAACAUUCAAAUGGUCAUCAAAAACCUUCGCAUGUAUAUUCUUUGGACUCCAGGUGGUCCUAAGACCACCUUGGUCCCAGUGUCGAUCCACCCCUACUUGUAGAGAGUGUGCUUACGUACGAAAUUCUAAGUUUUCUUUUGGAAGUCAAUAACCUAAAGUAAUUUUAAAUUAAACACAAAAAUUAUUAUGUGCUUUCUUUCGCUAACUAUUGUUAUGUGCUUAUGAUACACGAACUAUGGAGAAUUUUUUAGUGUUCAUCACACACCAACUAUUAUUGACCUGUUUAAUUAUUUGAAUAUGGAAAUUUCGGAAUAUAAAGAGGAGCUUAACCAAAACGUAAUUAUUUGUGCAAGUUUUAUUCUUGCAAUUUUAGAAUACAUAAAAAUGUUGUAAACUUCUAGUUUAAGUAUGAUUGUGUAAAUCCUAGAUUAGAUUUGAUUCUAGUUAUCAUUUCCUAUAUGGUCUUGUAUUCCUUGGAUUAGAAUGAUUUCUUCUCUCCCUUAUUACUAUAAAUAAAGGCAUUACGUAGGGGGAUAACAACACACCCUUACUAUACCCCUACAAACACAUCUCUCUCUACAAUCUCUCCUCGCUGCUAGCCCUCUCUCUCCCUGUCAGUUAAAUAUAGGCCACAACACGUUAUCAGCACGCUCCUACCGCUGCGCUUAGGAAUCUGAUGAGGAGAUUUUCUGCAUCAAACCAGUUCAUCCAUAUCAUCACGCAAUCAGGUUCUUCCAAAACGACGGUUUUUAUCUCGAUAUUUUUGCAGCCCUGAUAGCAUGAACAUUCACCAUAAUGCAUGACCCAACUUUACGUUUUUCGAAUUUUAGAUUCUACAUAAAUUGUGUAUGCAUUAUAUUCAUAAUUGUUGAAUUAUGUGAAUUUGAUAUUGACAUGAAUUGCAUCAGAUAACUGCUCAUGCAUUAAAUUAUAUAAAUAUGCAUUGAAUUGAUCUGGAAUUAAAAACAAAAACAAUUUUGUUUAAGGUUUCAUCGAAACCCAUCCAUGUCGAUGGGCCCCUGAAGCCAAGAACCCAUCCUGGAGCUACGGCUCCAGGCCCAAAACCUUGAACUAACGCCCAGAAGGCGUCGCCCACCCUGAAACCACCAUGACGCAUGGCCUGCAGCCAUGCCUAGCCACCUUGGCUACCUCCCCGAUGACCUGAAGAUCGUCCACCGAUGUUACUUGGUUGGGAUUCCUUCGAAUCUCAUCGGAUUUCUCGAAAUCCUGACUUCAAUUUCUAGGUUUUUUUUUUGUUGAAUUAUUGAGAUUUCACAAUCUCUGUUUGUAACCAUGGUCAAAAACACCCAAAAAGAGUACCUCCAAGUCUCAUCGUCCAAGAUUUGGCCACCCGCAAUGGUGACGCCGUUCUUCUUCCCCGGCACCCCUAGCUCUGCUAAGAUUUCUUGGUCCAAACCCAACCCUAUUUUUGGGCCUGGCAUUGACUCGAGCUGAAGAAAAAAAAAAUUCUUUGGGCUUGCUACUGCAAGCCCAACCCGACCCUACACAAAAAUUAUUAUGUGCUUUCCUGCGCUGCAACACACUGGAUUAUCACCCUCCCUUGGGACCUGUUUUUCCUUGGUAGCCAGUUUGCUACCUUGGGCCUACAACCCCUUGGCCUGAUCAGUCAUUCCAACCGAGUUUCGGGCUUGGACCCACGGCAGAAAUUUGCUUAGCCCACCUAUGGGCUUUGGCCCAUGUUUUUUUGGGCCUCUGAGCUUAAUUGUUUUUUCUUUUAAACAGUUUGGGUUUUAUAUUUUUUUCACCCACACUUAUUAUAGAUAUUUGCAUAUUUUAUUGUUACAUAUUUCUAUAUAUAUUUGUGUUUGUCUACUGGAACAUAUGAACCUAAAGUUCAUAAUUAUUUUGAAACCUGAAGUUUCUAAAAACAUGCCUUGUUUGAAAACCUAAAGUUUUCCUUAAAAACAUCACCCAUGAAAACCCGAAGUUUUUUUCAUGCAAAUUUAAACCAAUACAUUUCCUGCAAAUUUAAACCAAUACAUGUCUAUUAGAACUUGAAUGUUCUACUCCUAUGUGAAUGGAUUGAUUUUUUUCCAUUACACUAACCACAUCUUGUCCAUCUAUUUUUGUGAUAGGAACAUGUUGAAUUUGAACAAACUCGACCUCACCUCUUGAAAGUCUCUAGAAUGAACUACCUCAAGUAAGGGUGGAUUUUGUUGCCAAAUUGCCGUGCCAUACCGAUUUUGUGCCAAAUUUUUUAUGCCAAUCGGUAAUGGUACGGUAAUGUACUGCACCAAAAUUUCAUGGUACGGUAUUGGUAAUGGAUACCAUUACCACGGUAUUACCGUACCGUACCAAAAAUACAAUAUAAUUUAUAAUUUAUAAAUUGUAUAAUAGAUAAUUAUAUAACACAUAUUUAUAAUAUUCCAAUAAUUUGAAAAUAAAACCCUACUUAUAUUAGCAUUGUUGUUGGUGACUUUGAUCUCUUGAAAUUGUGGAAAUCAAAUACAAAAGAGUUCCUAAUUCUUUCACAAAUAGCCAAGAUAUCUUUGUAACCCCCACUUCUAUCGUUGCUAGUGAAAAUGCAUUUAGCCUAGGAAGGAAGGUUGUGGACCCUUUUAGGGCAUUCUUGACUCCUACAAUAGUAGAGGCACUAGUGUGUACUAGUGGUUGGCUUAGGGCAGAUGAAGUAAACUUCUACAAGGAACCAAAGGAAAAUAUGCUUCAAUUUUACAAGGAAAUGGAAAAAGAGGAAACAAGAAAGAUAUGCUUUAAUUUUUUUAGUAAAUUUGUUAUUUAAUGGUUUUCAACUUUAAUUCUUUUUGCCACUAAUUAAUUAUGUUUUAUUUGUUUGUAAUGUAGGCUUGACACAAGCUCAAUCUUCUACAAGUUCAAUGCCUCCUCCAAAAGCUUUGACAUCUCAAGCUUGAAUAACUGAUCAAUGAAUUCUACUUUUUGAAGUUUAGUUCCAAUUUUCAUUUGGUUUGAAACUUUAAUUUCUAUUUGGAUUGUUAACUUCUAUUUGUUUUGGUUCGUAACUUCUAUUUGGAUUGUAAGCUUAAUUUUCAUCAUGAAUCUUGAUGCAUUAUUUGAAUUAUUGUGUGUUUGAAUUGUGAACGAUGAAUAAUAGAUGAAUUUAAGCUACAAUGUAUGAGAUAAAGGUACAAAAAAAAAAGUUUUGCCCUUGAAUUGGGUAAAAAAAAACAAAAACAGAUUUUGUCCCAAAACAAAAUGGCAAUUACCAUUGUCAUACCUUGCCAACUGAACUUUUGGCAAUACCAAACUUCCAUAUACCAAAAGUUUGGUACGGUAAUUGUAAUAGAUUUUACCAAACCGAAAGUUUGGUACGGUAAUUGGUACAAGGGUUUUGUUACAGUAACUGUACCGAACCCACCCCUAACCUCAAGUGGGUCCAAGAUGUGAAGCUCCACCUCACUGCAAAGAACUUACGUCCUUCCAUUGAGAUGAGACGGACAACCCUGUUGGCGAACCUGAGAAAGCCACUGCUAUGAUCUUCAUUCGAAGACAUAUUCAUGACACCCUGCAAACCGAGUAUCUUGUUGAGGAGGAUCCACGAGCAUUAUGGGUCGCUUUGGCUAAUCGUUUUGAUCACUAAAAGGACAUCUUCUUGCCUAAAGCAAGACAUGACUACAACAUUUUCGCUUCCAAGACUUUAAGUCUAUGAAUGAAUAUAAUUAUGAAGUUUGUCGAAUUCGAUCACUUCUCAAGCUUUGUAACAAAACUUUGACUGAAGAUGAUCUCCUGGAUAAUACCUAUUCGACCUUCUCUGCUACUAAUAUUGUCCUAAGGUAACAAUAUAGAGCUCAGAAGUUCACUAAGUUUUCAUAUUUGAUCUCUGUUUUACUUCUUGCUGAAAAGUAGAAUCUGUUGUUGAUGAAGAAUCAUCAAGCUCGACCUACUAGGGCGACUGUUGUGCCUGAAGCACACUAUAGCACGAACCAACGCCCAAAAUGCCAAAAGAGGCAUGGUAGGGAUGGCUAGAAGCCAUCCCGUCAAGGUCAACAGAGCUAAGGCCCACCUGAGGAAGGAAACAGAGCCUCGAAGCGCCCUAACCUCACUUCCAAGGCCGCAAACUUCAAGAAUAAGGGCAAAGCAUCUGAAACCAUGGAUGCGGACAUGUGAUAUCGCUGUGGUUCAAAGGACCAUUUAUCCCGUGUUUGUCAAGCUCUUCAAAAGGUUGUAGUUGAAUAUCAUUCUCGUCGUAAGAAGUUUGAAUCAAACUUUUUGCAAUUGGACGAACCGGAGAAUACAAAGAUGGAGAUUUCUAACUUUUAGGAGGACACCACCCCUAUGGAAGAUUUGAAUCUUAGACAUAAACUAUUUUUUUAGUUGAAUUAGACAUUGCGGCUGAAUUCCACAGUAAUGGCCGAACCCCCCCUUUUGUUUUUGGUUAAAUUUUGAACAAGUUUCCUUUAUGUUUGGAUUAUUUGUUGGUGAUUUAUUUUUGGAUAUCAAGUUUUAAUUAAUUACCAACCUUGAAUACUUAAAUUUUUUUGAAUUGAUAUUUGUUUAAAUAACUUUUAUGCAUGUGACCGAUUCAAAUUAAUUUUUCAUUCUAGGUAUGACUAGUGGGCAAGUUAGUUGUUUGGCAGAUAGUGCACCUCUGACUAACUUCAUACCUAAGAAUGCACAUCUGACAACCCUCUCAGGCCCAUCCAACCUGAUUGAAGGAUACAGUAAGGCACGUAUAAUAUUGUCCAAUGGUACAAUCUUGACCAUUGAUGGAGCAUUCUAUUCUCCACUUUCCGAAAGAACGUUGUUGAGUUUCAAAGACAUUAGAGAUAACAAUUACCAUGCUGAAACCUAUGUAGAAAACGGAGUUGAAUUUCUGUGCAUAACUUCCUACGAAUAUGGCUAGAAGCGUAUUCUAGAAAAGAUUGAGCGUAUCCCGAGUGAUCUGUAUAUUACAACCAUAUGCCCCAUAGAAAGCCACUAUGUGGCCGGCCCUACCUCUAGGACCACGCACGAAAUUACACUUUGGCAUGAUUGUUUGGGACACCCUGGAUGAAUAGUGAUACACCAUAUCCUCAAAUCAUCAUAAAGGCAUCCACUAACCAGAAGUUUAGGUUUGAUUCAAGGAAUCGCAUGUCAAACCUGCUCCAUGGGAAAGCUUAUUAUUAAGCCUUCUUAUGACAAGAUUCGUUCGAAUCCUCCUAUUUUUCAACAAAGGAUUCAGGGGGACAUUUGUGGACCGAUUCACCCUUCUUGCGGACCAUAUAGAUAUUUUAUGGUUUUGGUUGACGCUUCCACACGUUGGUCACACGUGUUCUUGUUGUCCACAAGGAACGUUGCAUUCUCCAAACUGUUAGCUCAGGUUAUCAAGCUCAGGGUUCACCACCUUGAUUAUCUGAUCAAAUUUAUUCGAUUAGAUAAUGCUGGAGAAUUCACAUCUAAAACUAUUGAUAACUAUUGCAUGUCGGUUGGGGUUGAAGUUGAACAUAUUGUACCCCAUGUUCGCACCCAGAACGGCCUGGUAGAGGCAUUCGUUAAGCGCUUACAAUUGAUUGCUCGAUCGUUGGUCAUACGUACCAAGCUCCAGAUUGCUGCUUGGGGCCAUGCAAUAUUGCACGUAGCCAUGUUGGACCGCCUGAGGCCUAUUGCGAUCCAACCAUAUAGCGCCUUUUAGUUGGUUACCAAAUACGAAUCUGACAUAUCAUAUCUGCGUGUUUUUUGUUGUGCGGUCUAUGUGCCGAUUUCGCCACCCUUACAUACAAAGAUGGGGCCUCAAUGAAGGAUGGGAAUCUCUGUCGGAUAUGAUUCUCUUUCGAUUAUUCGUUACUUAGAACCUUUGACAGGUGAUCUAUUUACCGCUCGUUUUGCGGAUUGUCACUUCUAUGAGACAGUAUUCCCGUUGUUUGGGGGAGAUAAGAACGUCAACUUUUCUGAAGAAAGACGCGAAUUAUCGUGGACGAUUCCCACUUUGUCUAAUUUAGAUCCCCGCAUCGCUCAGUUUGAGACUGAAGUGCAAUGUAUAUUAGAUCUCCAGUGCAUAGCUCAGAGCAUGCCAGAUGCUUUCACUGAUCUAGCGCAGGUGACAAGAUCACAUAUUCCAGCUGUGAAUGUGCCAGCUACUCUUUUUCCUUACGAUUAAGAGAAUUUUUCCCACUAGAUUUUUGCUACCUAACUAGGUUUUAACGAGGCACCCACCUUGGAUUGAUCAUAUCCCUGAUGAUGUCCCAUAGACGUUUCAUUUGACUUUGCAUUGCUCACGCAUUUUUCCUUAGACUAUGGAUUUUGUCCAUACUGGGGUUUCUGCCAUAGUCGUAGUAUUUUUUGUGAGACUUACUUCCUUAUGCUUGUUCCUACCUUAUUUAAGAAUAGCUUGUCCCCAGAAUCAGUGCCGACAAGACGACUUCCUCAACUUUGAUGCUGAAUCUACCUUGAGUAUUUACACACUCAAUGGGCGUGUUGUAAACUUAUAGUUUAAGUAUGAUUGUGUAAAUCCUAGAUUAUGUUUGAUUCUAGUUAUCCUUUCCUAUAUGGUCUUGUAUUCCUUGGAGUAGAAGGAUUUCUUCUCUCCCUUAUUACUAUAAAUAAAGGCACUACAUAGGGGGAUAACAACACACCCUUACCAUACCCCUACAAACACAUCUCUCUCUUCAUAAUCUCUCCUUGCCGCCAGCCCUCUCUCUUCCUGUCAGUUAAAUAUAGGCCAUAACACAAAACAAUUUUUCAUGCUUUUUAUGUAUGCUCAUGUACUUAUGAGUUGGACUGUGAACUGGCUUACUGAUUAGGUAGUGAUUUGAAUAUUCUUUGUAUACUUUCAUCCUCCUAUUCUCUGAGGGAGAACAUAUAUAACUCCAAAAUCGUCAUCAUGCCCUCCUACUUUAUUAUUUUCGCAUAAUUAAUUUUUGGAAGUGCAAAUAAUAGCUCUUUAUUAGAAGUCAUAUACGAAAGCGGUAAAGCAACUUCAAACAAAAUGAUAUAUUAUAAGUCAUACCGUAGCCGUAUUUGUAUCCAUGCAUUCCUACCAUAUUGGCCUGUAUGUUUCGUCUCUAUACUUGGCAAGAGUUUGCUACUAUGAAGCAUGGAUACGGAUAUGACGAUAAAAUAUGACAUGACACAGAGAUAGGUAAAUAUCUAAAUAUUAAGUUAUGAUACGCCAUGAAUACGUUAAAGAAAAAAAUAUAUAGCAAUAAAAAUAUAAAAUUUAAAACAUAAUUCAUCAUUCAAAUUUAAGUUCAUUUGAGUUGUUGGAGAAGAAAGGUUGGAAAUCUAAUCCUCUUUAUACAUAGUAAAAAAAAGAAGUAUUUAUCAAUAAUAGCCAAAAUUUAACACCCAAUUUCAAAAAUGUCAUUUUUUUAUAAAAUUUUUCAAAUAUAUAUAAAAAAAACUCACUUAAAUAGACGUAAAUAUCCUCAAAAUGAAAACCAAAUAAAUAUAAAUGGCAAAACCCUCACCCCCAUUGUUGAGAGGAGCAUAUUCGCGCACACUCUCCCUAUUGUUUAGUUCUGAUUGGUUUGUAAGGUCUGGUGUAAUUCACAACUUGCUAAUAUGAAUUACAGAUUAAUUAGAUUUGCGGGUAAUAAAAGCAAGAAUUAAAUUGGAACGAUCCUUUUGUGAAAACUGUUAUUAUUUUAAAUCUCUGUUCUCCAACAAAUUUAAGACAAAUAUCUUGUGAAAAGAUAGAUAAAUUUGCGGAGACACCACAUGAUGGGACCUAUAUAUACUUUUCUGCUUGUAUCUUUUCCUUCCUAGAAAUACAAAUGUUUACAGAUAUAUCGUGGUUCAUACUUUCGGCAUAAUUCUAGGUAGCACGUAAAAUCCUUAAGCUUUUAUCAGCUUCUGAAACCUGAUUAGGCUACAAACAAACAAGCACACCUUUACCGAUCAGUCUUUGGCUAUAUGUUCACCGGUCUCAUCUCUGGUCUGCAUUCGUGUCCUAUUUAAUCUUGUAGCAAUUAGACAUAUGAGAAAGAUGGCAGGCAAAAGGGACAGUUUGAUGGGAUUUUCAGCACGUCGAAUGUAAUAAACGUAUUGAAUUAUUGAGCAAACACAUUGACUGAUGCCUCCGAAUAACCCAAAAAUUUCAAUGACCGAACCAAAAAGCAUGCAACAUCCCAUCUUCCUCCAAACCACUUUAUUUUUCCUACCUUUGUAAAUCAGCUCACAUAUGAAAAUGAGUAGAGCUCCAAUAGCCAAGAGCAUUCCGAACAGCGCAUACCGAGGCCUACCUGGGGACGAAGCCUGAUCACAAGCAGCUGAUAAAAUCUCCAUGCAAAGGCUAGUGACUAAAAAGAUCAACUCUUCUGAAUUUGGCUGCAUAAUAACUUAGUAAUGAGUUUAAUUACAACUUCAGAGAUCUACAAAUAAUUAUGCAAAGAAAAGGCUAAACGGAAUCAGAAUCCGCAGCGGCGCAUGGGCAAUGUUCCUAGUGAUUGCUAAAGUAGAAACGCUAGUUACGAAAGUGAAACAUGGUUCAAAUUGAAAGAACUAAAGCUCGUAGCAAAACAAAUCAUGCCUUGAUGAAAUUGAAUGGGAGAAUUAGAGAUGAAAUUCCACACCUUUGCCAAAUUAUCAGCUGGUGCUUCAGACUCUUUCGCGGCGGCGUAGGGAACUUGCCUUUCGUUAGGCGCUACAUUAAAUGUCACCAGCUGUAUAUUGUCUUCCGAAUUUGGCUACAUAAUAAAUUAGUAAUGUUUCAAUUACAACUUCAGAGAUCUACAAAUAAUUAUGCAAACGAAAAGGCUAAACUGUAUUUUUGUCCCUCAAAUUGAAUACUAUGUUGUUAACUAAUGAAAUUGUGUCCGAAAUCACAUUUUCUCCGCAUAGUUUGACGGAAACAUCGCAUGUUGGUUACGUCAAAAGUUAUAAACUGAAGAAAAUUCUAAAACCCUUCAAGCAAAACGACUAACAUAUGUAGUUCCACUUGAUCAAUGCCUAAAUUUAAAGGAAAUGCGAUAUUGGACUCAAUUGUAAACGUCAACCAACAACUGUAUAGGCAUUGCUAUUACUAUAGUCUAGAGUAGAGGUUGCAAUUGCACUAUUCAUCUUACCUAUGAAAUAGGACUUCAAUUUUGAAUUAAUAACAAUUGUGCCAUUGUGUGUGUGGGCCGUUUUUCACCCAAAGAACAAGGGUUGGGCCGUUGCGUUUGAGCCCAGAGUUCAAAUACCAUACGUGAUGGGCUGGGUUGGGCGGAGAGAGUUGAAGUUACUCUUUGCCUCUUCGAUCCAAAUCCAACGGACAAGGGUCGUUUUAGUGGCUUCGAUGUCGUCGAGGAUUUUAUGAGAUUUCCAAAAUUUGUAGGGCCAAGCAGGUAAUUUCCAUACGCAUUUAGGAUAUUAGGAAGGCUUUCAGUUUGAUGAAGGAAAUUGCAGUUGAUUUUGAAAGGGCCAAGCAGGUAAUUUCCCUAACUAAAAAUUUUAAUUUAGAGUGUUGUUAUUCCCACCCCGAUGUCUUAUUUUUCUACCCACUUCAAAUUAAAUAUUUUGUUUACAAAUUUAUCCUCUUGCAAAAUGACUUUGAAGGACCUAAACGAAAAAGGAUUUUGACAAAGUAAGACCUAAAAAAAUUCAAUUUGAAUAUAUAUAAAAAGAAAAGUUUAGAAAAAAAAAGGAGGAAGAAGACUAUAAGAACCAUGCCUAGAUCGUCCCCUACAUCCCCCUUCAUUCUUUUUCCUCUUCUUCUUCCAUAUCCAUCAAGACAACCACUACUUUAGUAUUGGUGCUCCCCGUCGUCCUCCACUUCUUUCAUGCGAAGAUAAAAAUACUCACUACGAACCCACGAACCCAUUAUUUGCAGGCCGGCCUUCUGCAGAUCCGGGAAAAGGCAACCAGUGCCACUCCUCCAUAUGCGCAACCCGACUGAAACAUGUCACCUGUUCCAUACGCCUUGCACGCGACAUCUUCUCUUGUCCAAAUCCAACCCACGACAACCUUCUCUAGCUGGGAUACAAAAUGAGAUCUCAAGUUUUCCAUUGGUAUCACCAAAAAAUUUCCAUUGAUAAGGAGCACUAGGCCCAAUUUAUGAUUUUUUUUUUCCACAAAUCAUGAGCAGAUUAAACAAACAAAAAAAUAAAUAAUUGUUAUUUUAUCUUUUAUUUAUUGUUAGGAAUUUAAAAUAUUAAGGUUAUUUUAGGAAUAAAGGUGGGUGUGGAGAUAGUAUCUCAUUGUUUUUACUUUUAAUAGUGGGUGACAAAAUAAGUGGGGUGGGAAGAUAAGAAAAGGGGGUGGGCUUAGUAGCAUUCUUAAUUUAUUGUUUUUAUACGAGAAGUGGUUUUAAUUUCUUAAAUGUGUAGGUGCUGCUAAAAGCCUGAAUUACCAACCUGGGCCGGAGGUAGACCUGGCAUUUUGGACUCGACCCAACCCGUUAAUAUUAGUAUUUGGAUAGAUGCUUAACGGGUCAGGUCGUUAACGGGUGAACCCGUUAAAUAACGGGUCACUUUGGGUCAACCCGUUAGACUCAUUAGUACCCGUUAGCACCCGUUAGUUGAUGAUGUUUUAGUAAUUUCAGUAAAGUCUUAACAACAAAAAUAAACUCUAUGCAAAAAUAAUAAUAAUAAUAAUAAUAAUUGUUAACGAGUAAAACAGGUCGGGUUCAAGUGACCCGUUAACUUAACGGGUCGGAUUAAACUCGACCCAAACCCAAUAAAUUCGACCCGUUUACAGGUCUAGCCGGAGGUGCUACGAAUUUUCUGAUUCUUGCAAAGUUUCUCAUACAAUCACUUUGCUUUUACAUUUGUUGUUUCUCUAAUCCAUCCAAGCUGAUAUGGUUAUUUGAUGUUGAUGGGCCAGCUUACGGGCUUCAAUUUGAAUUGUCUGUGUUCGCCUGUAUUUUUUUUGAAUUGGUUGAACUAAGAUGUGCAUUUUCUAGAUUAAUGGUAAUUGAAAAUGCAUUACGGAAUCAGAAUCCACAGCAGUGUGCGGGCAAUGUUCCUAGUAAUUGCUAAAGUAGCAACUCUAGUUACGAAAGUGAAACACAUUUCAAAUUGAAAAAAAACUAAAACUCAUAGCAAAACAAAUCAUGCCUUGAUGAAAUUGAAUGGGAGAAUUAGAUAUGAAAUUCCACACCUUUGCUAAAUUGUCGGCUGGUGCUUCGGAAUCUCUCGCGGCGGCGUAGGUAACCUGCUCCUCCUUCGCAUCGUUAGGCGCUGCAUUAAGGGUCACCAGCUGUAUAUUCUCUUCCGAAUUUGGCUGCAUAAUAAAUUAGUAAUGUUUCAAUUACAACUUCAGAGAUCUACAAAUAAGUAUGCAAACGAAAAGGCUAAACUGUAUUUUUGUCCCUCAAAUUGAAUACUAUGUUAUUAACUAAUGAAAUUGUGUCUGAAAUCACAUUUUCUCCGCAUAGUUUGACGGAAACAUCGUAUGUUGGUUACGUCAAAAGUUAUAAACUGAAGAAAAUUCUAAAACCCUUCAAGCAAAACGACUAACAUAUGUAGUUUCCACUUGAUCAAUGCCUAAAUUUAAAGGAAAUGUGAUAUUGGACUCAAUUGUAAACGUCAACCAACAACUGUGUAGGCAUUGCUAUUACUAUAGGCUAGAGUAGAGGUUGCAAUUGCACUAUUUAUCUUGCCUAUGAAAUAAGACUUCAAUUUUGAAUUAAUAACAAUUGUGCCAUUGUGUGUGGGGGCCGUUUUUCACCCAAAGAACACGGGUUAGGCCUUUGCGUUUGAGCCCAAAUAACAUACGUGAUGGGCUGGGUUGGGCGGAGAGAGUCGAAGUGACUCUUUGCCCCUUCGAUCCAAAUCCAACGGACAAGGGUCGUUUUAGUGGCUUCGAUAUCGUCGAGGGUUUUAUGGGAUUUCUGUCCCUCCCAAAGAGAGAGAGGUGGGAGAAGUAUGGAUGGCGUUGAGGGUUUUUUGGGAUUUUGUCCGUUGCAGAGAGAGAUGGGGAGAAGUAUGGGGUAGGGGAGAGGCUUUUCUGCCAUUGAAUGUGUGGGCCGUUCUUCACGCAUUCCAUUUCAUCUCCUUUCGUUUUGGCUCUCUUCCCUCUCGCUCUUCACUGCGCGCCUCUACGCAUUGAGGAUAUUGGGAAGGCUUUCAGUUUGAUGAAGGAAAUUGCAGUUGAUUUUGAAAGGGCUAAGAAGUUUGAGAAGGUAAUUUCUCUAAUUAAAAUUUUUAAUUUGGGAAUGUGCUAUCCACAAAUCAUUUUUACUUCUCGUACACCUUAUUAAUUUAUGUCCGUUGAUUUUCUUUAAUUAAUCCAAUCCAACGAUCGAAAACUAAAAAAAUGUGGAAGAAGUAAAAAAAUGAUGUUUCUCAUACAAUGACUUUGCUUAUACAUUUGUUGUUUCUCUAAUCCAUCCAAGCUGAUAUGGUUAUUUGAUGUUGAUGAGCCAGCUUACUGAUUUCAAGUUGAAUUAUCUGUGUUCGCCUGUAUUUUUUUGGAAUUGGUUGAACUAAAUGUGCAUUUUCUAGAUUAAUGGUAAUUGAAAAUGCAUUAUGGAAUCAGAAUCCGCAGCAGCGUGCGGGCAAUGUUCCUAGUGAUUGCUAACGUAGCAACUUUAGUUACGAAAGUGAAACACGGUUCAAAUUGAAAGAACUAAAACUCGUAGCAAAACAAAUCAUGCCUUGAUGAAAUUGAAUGGGAGAAUUAGAGAUGAAAUUCCACACCUUUGCUAAAUUGUCGGCUGGUGCUUCGGAAUCUCUCGUGGCGGCGUAGGGAACGUGCUUCUCCUCCGCAUCGUUAGGCGCUGCAUCAAGGGUCACCAGCGGUAUAUUCUCUUCCGACAGUAGUGAUUUGUCCAGCUGCUCUCUAUGCGACGACAUACUUGUGGUUGUUUUUACCAAAUUUCCGAAAAUAUUUGCCUUGAUUAGGCCCCUUUUAGGUUGUGGAAACUUCGGUACAGAGGACGAGGACGAGGACGAUUCCAUUCUCUGCAAUGACGAUUCCAUUGAGAAGUAGAAAGUAGUAAGUAAAUCGGGUUCCAAAAUCGCUAACUAGGAAAUGCAGGUGAGGCAGAUGUACUACUCAAUUUUCUUGAACCUCAGUCUUUGAGGAAGGCGACUGGCAAUUAGAGACGACUAUUUUUGGUCAAUAAUUGAGUGGACUGUGCACGCGUGAAUCAUAGGGUCUUAUUCCCUAUAAUGUAAUAAUUUUUUGUCAAUAAUUGAGUAGACCGAAUGCCAUUGAAUCAUAGUCUUAUAUCAUUUUCAAAAGAAAUGUGAAAUUAUAAGGAUCAAAUUAUAACUGAUGACUGAUGUAGCAAUUUGAAGUUUUAUGUCAAAUUUUGUACUUUUUCUAUCGAAUUGUCAAAUGUUAUUUUAUUAUUUAAAUAGAGUUUUCAAUUGUUGUAAUUAUUAAAAACAUGUUGAAACAAAAUUUUCAUUGGUUGAAAUGCUAGUGGAAUAAUGGAUCCACCAAAUAAAAAUAAAUUUGACAUUAAUGUCAAAUUUGACUUCAAAUCACAAAGCUUUCAAAUUUAAUCAGUAAAUAACACUUCGAUUAGAAAGACUUUUGUCAAAGGAAAUAUCAAAUUUUAAGAGUCAAAUUACAAUUGAUGACUGUCGUGGCAAUUUGAAGUCUUAUGUCAAAUUUUGUACUUUUUUUUAUCGAAUUGUCAAAAUGUUAUUUUAUUAUUUAAAUAGAGUAUUUAAUUGUUGUAAUUAUUAAAAAAAACAUUGAAACAAAAUUUUUAUUGGUUGAAAUACUAGUGAAUAAGGGACCUAUCAUUAAAAUGAAUUAAAAAUAAAUAAUAAAUUUGACAUUGUCAAAUUUGACUUCAUAUCAGAAAGCUUUCAAAUUCAAUCAUCAAAUAACACUUCAAUUAAAAAGACUUUUGAUGUCAAAUAUGCACAAUAGCAUUCUACUUAGAAUUUUCAUAUCUCCUUUGAAUAUGUUUUUAUUUCCUAUAAUUUAGCUGACAAUUUCCUAGUAUUUGGUUGGUGUGAGAGUGACAGUGUGUGGGUUGCGCGACGUUGGAUCGGCAUCCUUCGAGAACAUUACAAUGUGAAACUUUGAAUUUGCUUCUUUGUGAGUGUAUGCGAAACAGUUAAUUAAGCAAUCAAAUUGAUCGCCUAAUUAAUUAAGAUUAAGAUUAGAAUCUUAUGCAUUUGAAAAGCAAUUAUGUUGGAACCAAAUUCGUGCAUUGAGUGGUGAUUGUGCACAAAUUCGAGCAACUUCCAAAACAGUAAAUAACUAUUAGCAGGCCAAAAAUUGGGGGUCUACCAAUCAAAAGCUAUCCAACGGUCAAGUUAGUGAAUGAUUUUAGACUCAAGCAGUGGACAAGAGAAUUCAAGUGUUUAGAUUGUGUUAUCAGAGAUGAACCCUAUAUGAGUGUAUUUAUAUCAUGGGCGAGAGACAUUUUCAGGAUAGAAAAUAUCUAGGAGUAGAUCUUGCAUUGUGAUUACUUGUAGGGCACAUCAGUCCCUAGAUUGUAGGAAAUUCAAGACUUAAAAGAAUCUGAUUGUGUCCAUAUCAGGAUCAAAGCAUGGUUAUCCAGCGGAGUCGAAAGGACUUCGCAUGUUGCCCCGAAAUUGGAUAAUGGUGGCAUCAUUAUCCAUUUGAUACAACUCUGCCUGCAGCUGGUGAAUCCAUAAUCAGACUUCUGAAGUAAUUGUACUCAUAUCAGCUUCACUCUUGUUCUCGAAAAUAACCACUCAUUUGAAAGGCAAUCUAAUCCCCUUGAUGAUGGAUUGUUAUUCAAAGACCAUUUGUUUUGCUCGACUACGUUCACAUCAUUUGUUAGGAUGUCAACCAUUAAAGCUCCUGACCCAAUGUAGCUUUCGACGGAUUUAGAUCCUCUCUAGAUCAUCCUAGGGAUCAAUGCAUAAUAAUCCUUCAUCAAAAAUCGUGCGGCCACAAUUGAAUGUUUUAUAUAUUUUUAAAAGUAAAGCAAUCUCGUUUUACAUGAAAAUAUAAAUAAAUAAAAAAGAAAAAAUUAUGACCGCAUGAUCUUUGAUUGACGGUUACUACGCAUUGAUCUGGGAUCCCCAGUGAAAGGAUUUGGAGAGGAUCUAAAUCCGCUUUCGACAAGGACCCAAAAUUUCCAAAUGAGCUCAGAAUAUUUCAAUUUAUGGAGCUUUAGUGUUCUGGGCUUCAUCUGCAACGGGGUCUUGCAAAGAAACAUGGUGUAUUUGCAUAGAGGUUCGUGACUGAAAUUGCAGUGAAGGAAAACUGAGUAUGUGGGUGUUAAUUGCAGAGCUUCUAAAUCGGAAAUUAGUCGGGGAAGAAGAAGGGGGAGAACGGAAGGGAGUUUGGGGGUUGUGGAAGAGAGAAGAGGGUGGAUGGUAAGCCAUUUGUUGACUCACUUUUGUCUUAUGUUCAUAAUGUAUAGGUCGGAGUGUUCGUCAACUCGGGCCACAACCAACUAGACGACCAACUGGACCGGAGUUGCUUGCAACCGAGUCGGUGGGACUCGACGGGUCGUUUCUCUUGAUCUUUCCGAAUUCGUACUCACUGGCUCCAUAAGCCACCGUGUUGGUGGCUUGACAGUUCGAUGAUGAUGACAAUCCGAAUUCAUCAUCAUUAUGUUUUUUUUUUUUUUAAAUUGGAAACACACCAAACUAUCAAGCUGCUCCUAGAAACACCAUAUGACAAAAGUAUCACAAAUACUUAAAACUUCGAACUAAACUAGACAAGAAAACAAAUAUAAAUUGGUGAAAUAUAUAAUAGAAAAAUUGGUGCAUUAUUUAUCAACCGCGUAAAGGCCAAAUACCAAACUUUGAGUUUUAACGAAAAUGACAAAAAUGUAUUGUAAUUAAAUAGUACCAUGAUUAAAUUUUUUAAAGUAAAAAUAUGAUUUUUUGCUAAAAUGAACAGUACUUUCGAUAAAGCUCCCUUUUUAAAAAGCCCACGUCUACAAUAAUCGUCCGGUUUUGCGGUUUUAUUUUUCCCCUUAAAUCUUACUUCACCUCUUAGAUUUCACUCUCUCGCGUUACACCUUGCACCUAAACUCUUUGGCCAAUGCCAAGGGCAAUUUCUGCACAAUUUUUCACUUUCUGCACGCUCCCUCUUGAUAAAGCGAGAACAAUAUAACAGAAGAGAGAACCCUUCAAUUUUUCAUAAAUAAAUAAUGAUGAUGAAAAGAACAAUGUAUUCAUAACAGUUCAUCUGCAGUAUUCAUCUAAAGAUGUAUUACCGAUUUUCAAUUGUCAAACUGCUGUGUUCUUGACAUGAAUGAAUGCUUUCGGACCAUGAAAUGAACCGUCCAUAACAGAUUACAUGAUUUUUCAACACAUUUAUAUAACAAAUGCUUCCCGAGUGUUUGUAUUAGAUGGGAAAGUAGCACCAGUGCAGAAUAAGGUGAAAAGUAGCAGCAGUGCAGGCGUAAUGAUCCACUGAGCAGAGAUGCAACUAGCAGUAUUGGGGAAGAAGCUUUGAACAAUAUCAACAACAAUGUCUUCAGAUUUCGGAGAUGCACCAAGUUCAUAUCUUUGCUUCCACCAAGAGACUUCUCCUUCCCUCGUUUUCUUGGUGAACCAACACCGUUUUCCUAUCAAAACUCGAGGGCACAAACCCGCUUAAAUGUCACCAAAACCUUAUUUGAAGCCAUACAUUUUUGCGGCGAACCAUCCUUAAUUUUGACAUCCAUCUCCCCUUGUUUCUUCGGCUCAUAACAUCCCCAUGGUAGAGUAAAAUGCUGUAAUCUCUCAGUUCCCUUGGAUCACUUCCAAAGAAUAAGAUGCUCAUAGGCUGUGACAAUAGGCAAAAUUUCAGAUAAAAUUAAAAGUGCGGGUUCUUUUUCUUUAAGGAGAGUUUGCGGACAUUGCCAUAGCAUCGACCACCUCCGUGGGAGCAUCAGCAGCCUCACUUCUGAGUUCUGAGUACUGAAACAAUGGAGUCCGACUCUGAAAUCAGGACAGCAUCACCACUACCUGCAAUGGUUCUCUUAGCUUGGGGAUCUCUAUCCUGCACAUAUAUGAUUGGUUUAGUUAAAAACAGAACUCCAUGUUGGCUCCGAAAGAUGCUUGCCUCAAAGAUUGCCAUAUGACCUUAUUCUUUAGUAGAGCAAACCUCUCACGUUGGAGUCUUUGGACAGAUCUUUUAUUUUGCUCCUCAAUCCAUCGGCAUCCUGGAUGAAAGACUGAAAAGAUCUCGUCACUCAUAACGCAGUAAACAGGACAAUUACAAAGUUGUAAUUUGCAUAUUAUGUAUCUUCUACUUACUUUAGUGUUAAGAACCUCAUCACAAAGGAAAUUCAAAAACCUAAGCUUUUGGGAGAAGCUUAAGGCAACAUAUCCAUCCCCGCCUCCAGUAAAACACUCUACAGGCAACACUUUGCGGCAGCUCCUUCAUAACGGGGUCAACCUUAGAGACCCUGGAUGCGGAGAUCAGGUUCUCCAAAUCUUGGAACCAUGAGCAGUUGGUGCUUGCUUGCUCUAGAGACAUAACAGAAAAUAAAGUUGGCAUAAACCACAUGAAUUAUUUUCACCAUUAAAGCUUACUAAAAGUACUUUACACAUAACUAUAAUACACUAGGUAGAGUUCUUACUCCUGUAUGAAGAAAAACAUAUAGCCAUGAAAUCAAACAACGGAAAACUGUUCAGCUUGGGACUUUUCAACCUUAAAAAAACUAGAGUAAAAAGAAACAAGAAAAUAAAACGGGAUUUCAAGUGAAUUGGAAGUUCAGGAAUGUUUUAGCACCCCAAAAAAAUACUAUAAUCAACCGCACCUCCAUCUCUGCUGCCAAAAUCAACCUCUUGAGUCUCAAUAUUCCCGGGCCAUUCCUUGACUUUAUGAUGCUUUCUGACUGCCUUGGCAUUGACAUCCUUAUUGCUAAUAGCAGCACCACCAUCUCUGCUGCCAUUACAAAUUUCCAUCAUCUUUUUCUUAGUUUCCAGCUCAGCAGAUUGUGGAGAUGCAUACAAGUGUUUUCUUGGUGAACCAACACGGUUUCCUUUCAAAACUCGAGGGCAUAUCUGCACUCACACGAAGAUGGCAGCAACAUGAAGAGAAGAUGAAAAGGCAUGCUGCUUGUAUUGAAAACAAAGCAGUAUAUGAGUAAAACAUCAUUCCAGGGGUUACCUAUCCAACUGAAGGAGAAUCAUAUUCAUGCCGCACUGCAGGAGAACCAUUCAUGAAUAACUAAUUGAUGGACAUUUAAAUCAUUGGCCUUAGAAGAUCCAAUCUUUUCAGUUCCACAGUUUGCUGCCUGCAUCAGCAAAGCCGACCAACAUGGCAGUGACAUAACUUUGCCCUGAAAGCAUAGUUUAAUUCCGUUGUUAACAUUUAACUAAUAUAUAAGCCUAAAUGAUCAAAAAUAAAUUCUACAGAUAGAUGUAACAUAUUUAGAAAAGCCUUAGGAAUAAUGCGUUCACAAUUUCCCCUACGUUUCCCAUUUUAUCAUCGCAAUCAAACUCCGAAAGUGGGAACAAAAUUUAGACAUGAUUUGACAAGGAAAGAUAGCAAUGUGAAAGUUUUAGUGGGAGCAUAGUAGUCACUUGAGGCGUACCAAGAUGAAAAAUAAUAAGAAAACUUUGGAACCAGUACUCCUGAAUUGCUUAUUCCUAAAAUAUUGAGUAAACAACUUCAGUGGAGAAAUUCAAAUUUAUUUGUGAUGAAAACAAAAAAACAAAAAAGAUAUCAAAGUCCUUCACAAGAAUUAGAGGCAAAGAAAAGAGUGAGGAGUUUUACCUUCACGUGGAUCACCCAUAGCACCAUUCGACGACUAGUAAUUUAUGUAAGCAAACACAUGUUGCCCUUAGUUAGAUGAUAUUGUCCUGAAAUUUAAAGAAGCAUGUUUUAUUAAGGGUAGCGUAGUUGAAUUAAACAAUUAAAAACUGAUUGAUUGAUAAAAUAAACACAGUAUAGAUGACAGAAAACAAUUGAAGAGAAACUUUUAAUUGAAGAGAAACUUUUACAGAAUCUCAAUCUUGGCUAUGGAAUGAAAACGAUGCUAUGUACGUACCUGAGUUUGACUUGAGAAUUCAAAAGAUGACUUGGUCGUCUAUCUUGAUGCAAGGAAUGUGUGCUAUCUUCAUCCACUCUUCUCCCGUCUUCUCCUGACACCUCUUCUCCAGAGAAGAACACUUUUCGAUGCUCAGGAAAGAGAGCGAUGCCGGAAGACCCUCUUUUGUCAGGAAUUCGAGACUAUCACAGUCGUGAAUUUUGAGCUCUUGAAGACAAGUGAGGUGUUGAAGUCCCUUUCCCUCCAAAGAUUUCAGACUUUUCAUGUUAGAGAUUACGAGUCUGUGAAGAGUGGUAGGGAGCAGCUGUUCCUUGAGCAACCUCUCCAACACAUCCUCGCCUCUCAAGAUAUGAAAUGUUCGAAGGGAGACAAUUCGUUGCAAACCCCAGUACUCCACUGAAGGCUUCAGUUUCUCACAAUCCCAGAUUACAAAUAAUUCUAGGUUUGGAGGCAAACCCCCUUGUGCAAAUGACUCAACAUUUGGAAGAUCGCCUAUACCCAAAUAUCGAAGGGCUGUGAGGGUGUGUAUUCGGUCGGGAAAUAACUUCAACUUCUCGCAUCCCCUGACUUCAAGGGCAGCUAGGUUGGGAGUGGGCAAUCCCCCGUGGGGAAAAGAGACCAGAUUUGGACACGCUAGGAUAACGAGUCCGUCGAGAUGAGUGAGAUUUUCAUCUUCAGCUCCUCCAAUGGAAAGGGAUUCUAGAUUUUUAUUGCCCUUGAUACAAAGAAAUGAAAGUUUGGGGAAAACGCCCAGCGGGAAGGACCUCAGUGAAUCACAGCUAUUAAAUAAAUUGAAACGUUGAAGGGAUGUCAAUUUGGCCAUCAUCUCAUGAGAUAGGAAUUCUAAUCUCCUGCAAUUUUCUAUAUGAAGAAGUGUCAUAGAAGUGGGUAGACCAUUUCCAGAGAACGACAAGAGUGAUGCGCAGUUAACGAGAAUCAAUCUUUGAAGACAAUUGCUGAAGUGCGGCCACAAGCAUUCUCUGCGAUUAAAAAAUUGAAUCUCAAGUUUGGAAAGCGAUGAAAGCGACUCCGUCUCCAGUAACGACGAUAGACCAGGACAUCUAACUAUCUUCACUUCUUCAAGAGAUUGUCGCAAGGACUCCGUGUUAACGAUGAGAGACCACGGUAUCCAUCUCGUUCUGGUAGCCCUUUCAUGUAGAACCCCGCAGUCGCACACGGAAAGUUUUCUCAAGCAAGGAAGAUGAUCGGGCAAGUUUCCCCUCAGCUUCGGACAAUUCUUUAAAGUCAGUUCCUCAAGACGAGGAAAGUCUAGAGAUUGACCUCUACCUGGACAAGGUAGCCAUUCCUCCCACUCUGGCAUCUCUUUCAACUUUAGCUUCUUGAGAGAUUGAAACGGCUGAAUUAAAGAAGCUCCAUUACCCCUGAAGAACUCAACACCAAUAGUCAUGACAGAUUUCAUCCUUUCUAUAUAGAGCUCUUUGAGAGAGGGUAACCGCCCAACUGGUGGCAACCACAAACAAGUACUACAAUCAGUGAGACGCAUGACUUGUAUGUUGGAGAAUGAGGAGUCUCCCAACCAAUCUGGAAAGCUAGUUCCACCAUAAAAUCUGAUGGUCAGCUUCGCCAGAUUUACGGAAGGUUGUAGGCUUUCCAGUACAUGUCUCUCUUUGAUGGAAUCAUAUGCAUCCUCACGAUCCCAUGCCAACUCUACUUCGCUGAGAUGUUUCUUAUCCUUCAAAUUGGCCCCCAAGGCAUCCACAGGAUUGACAACAUUUUGCAGAUUCAAGAUAGACAAUUUUCCUCGAAGGUGCGACAAUUGCCCCAGUUCUCCAAUGCCACCUGACCCAGUAGAUUUCCCCAACACAAAAGCAGUCAAUGUUCUCAAACUUUUUAGUCUACCCAUUUGCACCGGCAUCUCUUUUACACAAGUUCCACCAAUAUCAAGAUGAUGCAAAUUUAUCAAUUUUCUCAUGUCUGCAGGCAAUUCAACAAGGGAGGAACAACCAAACAACAAUAGAGUUUGCAAAUGGUAGAGAGUACACACCGUAUCUGGUAACUUUUUAAUUGCAGUGUAAGAGAAAUCAAUGUAGCGUAAGUGCAAGUGUUUACCAAUGCAAUCAGGUAUUUGAGUGAUAUUUUUAUAUCUUGACAAUGACAACACCCGUGAACAUUUUAGUGCUGGUAACAAGUCCUCUAGAACCUUUAUGCUUACAUAGUUCACAUCCCCCUUCUUGUGUGGUCUUAAAGACAUGGGAAAUAAGGUGCGCAAACACUUGAUUUCGUCCAAUGACUUAAACUUUGCAGCACUAUCAAAUUCUCCUCUCAUGUAUGACAAAUGCCGAACUCGUUUUGGAACUUCACGUGGUUGUCCCUCAUCCAACCUAAAACAAAAUUCUCCAGACACAGAAAUAGCCAAAUCGUUAACGAGAUCAUGCAUUGUGAAACUUGAUUUCCCAAUUAAUGAUCUUUGAAGUAGUGAUCGUGACAAUAGUUCAUCAACGUAUCCCUUGCCGACCUCUUCCAAUCCUUUACCACUCUCAGCUUGUGGAACUAAACCCAAUGCCAUCCAAAGUUGAAUUAUAUUUUCUUUUUCAAAUUCAUAGUCCUUUGGGAAAAUUGAGAAAUAAGCAAAGCAUUGUUUCAAAUAAGUAGGGAGAUAAUGGUAACUCAAUCUUAAUGAUGGAAGAACACCUUUAUCAUGCAAUAUCUCCCAAAGAUUGUUGUUCAAUAUGUGACUCCAUUCCUUGUAGUCCACACUACAACCUAAGAGACCCCCAAGUGCUUUUGCAGCUAAAGGAAGACCAUUGCACUUGCGUGCAAUUUCCUUACCAAUUUCUUCCAAGUCCGGAUGUGCACUAGGAUUUUCAUUUCUAAAUGCAUGUUUUGCGAGUAACAACCAACAAUCUUCAUCCAACAAAUGUUUCAAGUAGUGAAUAGGCACGGUGCGCACUAGGGAUGCAACACUUUCAUUUCUCGUUGUUACAAUGACCUUACUUCCCCUUGCCCCAUAAGUAAAAGGAGUUUGUACAAGAACCCAUUCAUUAUAGUUGUCAUUCCAAAGGUCGUCCAACACAAAUAGGAACUUUUUCCCCCUCACUUGUUCCCUUAGUUCAACUUGAAGCAAGCUAUCUGGAAGACUGCAAGGUUUUGAGCUAAUUGAUUCAAUAAGGGUUUUAGUUACCCUCAUAGCAUCAAAAUCUUCAGAAACACAUGCCCAAGCAGUAACAUCAAAAUGCUCUUUUAUUUUUUCAUCGCUGUAAAGGACCUGAGCAAGGGUUGUCUUACCAACCCCGCCCAUUCCCAAUAUGGGGAUUACUGAUAUGUGGCUACUGCUCGCAUAAUCAGAUAGCAACGUUGUUUUCAACUUGUCUUUAUCUCCAUCCCUACCAUAAGGACAAAAUUCAUGCUCAACCAAGAAUGUUGUGGGAGUUCUUCAAGAAAUUUUCCCCUUAACACCUCCCAUAAGACCAAGGAGAUUAAUUUGUUUUGCGAGGUGUUCUAACCUUUGGAAUAACUCUUGUAUCCUACCAUUCAUGCCUUGAUAAAAAGGAUUAAGAGAGGUAGAUAGGAAGUUCCACACCUGGGUUUUCUUAGUUUGAUAUUCAGCUUCCACCUUGGAGCGCAAAGCUUCAGCAUCGAUCUCAUCGAGUAGAUCCUCCACAUCAAAGACAGCAUGUUUGAGCUCGUCAAGCCAACUUUCCACAGCAGGUUUGACAAUCUGCUUCUCCUCUGCAUCAUUGAGCACUGCAUGAAGGGUCAACAACGUCAGCUUCAGCUUCUCCAUGAGCGAAUGAUCAAGCUUUUUCCCCCAAAACAGAUCCAAGAACUCACCGGAACCAAUCUUAUCGCACAUCACCUGGAUGGAAGCAGAGAGAAAAGCCUCUCCAAUCAAAGCUCCUGCCAUUUCACUCUCUGUCUCUCUCUGUUUUCUUUUUUCUUCGAAGAAUUGUUGGAGGUGAGGAAGAAUAAGAGACUUAGGAUUUAUUGUUUUGGAAAGAGACAACUUGAUAUAAUUUUCGGUCAAUGAUUCAGUGGACCCCACACCUUUACCAUAGUCUUAAUUCCCUAUAAUUUAACUGACAAUUUCCUAGUCGAAGGUGGUAAAUAAUUCACUGGACCCACACGUUAAUCAUAGAUUCUUACAUUUCCUAUAAUUGAAGUGACAAUUUCCUAAUAGUUGGUUGGUGUGAGAGUGACAAUGUGUAGGUUUGGUGACUUUCAAUCGGCUUCCUUUGAGGACAUUAAUAUAUGAGACUUUGAAUUAUCUUGUUUGUGAGUGUGUGUGCAUGAAACAGUUAAUCAGGUGUUUCCGUGAACUAAAACAAACAACUCAGUUCGAAUCAUAUACUCAACUUAUAAUGUCUUUUAAAUAACUUCUCGACCGAGCUCAAAAUUUAUAGUUAACUUUUAUGUGCCUAUAAAUGGUAAUUAACCAGAACAUCACUUGUCUUGUUUAUGUUAAAAGUUACGUUGGGAUUUUACUUUUAGACGGACAGAUACAACACAUGAUUAGUUAAAUUAAUCACCUAAUUAAUUAAGAUUAAGAUUGGAAGCUUUCGUUUUUUAUGUUAUCAUGUCAUCAAGCAUGUUAGUUAAAGAUUCGGAACAAAGAGAGAGACACCAUUUGUGAGUCACCAAAUGCAUUAGUAUAAUUAUUGUUGGCCAUAAGUGCCAGCAGAAAGAGACCAUCACCAAAGUCUGAGUAUAUGUUUAAUAUUUAGGCAUAAUCGGAUAAAUGGUCUCGUGGUCAUAAGGUAUUCGGAUGAUAGCCCAUGUGGUAAAAAAAUUCGGAUUUAAACCCCUGUGGUCACAGUCUGUUAGAAUUUAAACUCAUGUGGUCUAAGUCUGUUAGGAUUUAUACCCUUCUGUCAUUCCUCCAUUAGGUUUAGGUUGGCCAAAUCCGAUAAAUGGUCCCCGAGGUCAUAAGGAAUUUGGAAGAUAGCCCCUAUGGUAGAAAAAAUUUGGAUUUAAACCCCUGUGGUCUAAGUCUAUUAGGAUUUAUGCCUGAAAUUAGAGGUUCUGUCAUUCAUUCGUUAAGCUUACAGGUGGAGCAGAGUUUCUCUGAUUAUCUAUCACUAAAAAAUAUAUUACAAUAAAAAUAGGGGGGAGAGAAGAUUUCAGUUUAUGGUAAAAAAAAUUCAUUCAUCUCAGUUAUUUCACAAGAAGAAAAAGACGAAAACAGAGGAUCUGUUGAAUUUCAAAUAGUUAGUUUCACCAAUAAGAUACGAAGACUUACUUCACAUUUACAAUUGCACAAAAAAACUAUUUAUCUCAGAGAGGUUUACGUAAAAUUAUGGGAAAACGCCAAUGAUUACUGUCUUAUUUGUCAAAGAAAAAUAGAAUAUGCUUAAUUAAUCAGUUGGAUAUUCGGGAGUCAAAAACUCAUUAAUUUUAUAAAGGCAUUUUGAAUUAUUUGAUUUAUUAGAUCUUGAAUUUUAAUGAAUUAUGUAUUUAUUAGUUCCACCUCGUUCUGUCGCGUCUCCUCAAAAAAACUCUACUUCACCUAUAAGCUUAGUGGAGAAAUGACAGAACCUCUAGUUUCGGGCAUAAAUCCUAACAAACUUAGACCACAGGGGUUUAAAUCCGAAUUUUUUUUUACCACAGGGACUAUUUUCCGAAUACCUUAUGACCACGGGGACCAUUUAUCCGAUUUUGCCAACCUAAACCUAAUGGAGGAACGACAAAAGGGGCUUAAAUUCUAACAGACUUAGACCACAGGGGUUUAAAUCCUAACAAACUGUGACCAUAAGGGUUUAAAUCUAAAUUUUUUUAUCACAUGGGCUAUCAUCCGAAUACCCUAUGACCACGGGGACCAUUUAUCCGAUUAGGCCUAAUAUUUAUUAUUGCCUGUGUGGAAAUCGUCUAUUAUUGACCAAGUCCACAGCCAACUUGAAGUUUCUCUCUUUUCCCACUAAAUCAAAAGAUAAAAAACAUGGAAGAAAAAAAAAUAAUGGACAUAAAGUUUUCCAAAAUAGAAGCUACUACAUGCAUAACAAGGACCUCCCACCAAUAGGUCAAGUAAACCUGGCCUCGCCCUUCUGUAAUGAUCUAUGUGGCCGAACAUAUAGGUUUGUUGCAUUAUCGUAUUUUUGUGACAGAUUUGUAUUGAUGACAUUUUGUAGGAUAGGUCACUGUUUGUGGUGCUGUAUAAGGGUUUAUUAUUGUUUGUUUGUGCAAAUUUACUCCAUAUCAAUUUAUUGGUCACUGGAGCUAAUAUACCCGAUCAGUUACUCUGUAAUUGUUUGUGAAGUUCAAUAAAAUAUUACUCUAUCGUUUCUUGUCAAAAAAAAAAAAAAAAAGAAGUAGAAAAAGUGAUUUGCGUAUUUGAAUUUUGAUAAUAAUGGAUCAUCUAAUUUAACCAAUUAAUUUUUGGUUUAUUGUUGUUCUCUUCCCAAAGUUUGAAAAGAUUCUAAGUUUGAAUGUGUUGGAGGUCGGCUAGAGUUCAUAUAAUUAAACCAAAUAAAAACGAUGCUCAAUGGUAACGAAGAAAAAGUUGUAUGAUUGACCUAAUUAUAGAAACAAGAAGACUAUAUCCGACCGUUAAGAUAAUAAUUGUAUUACAUAAAUGUAUGUUUUGUAGUCAGUCCUCAAAAUAAAUAAAUAGUGCUAAUUGUAUUAUUAUUGGUCACCAAAGACCAAACCAUAUUUACCAACGUUGGCAGUGAGGAAGGCAAGUAGCGUAGAUCGAUGUAGACAAUAGACAGGGCACCAAAGACCAAACUAUACUAAUAUGUAUGUAAAUACAUUGGGUAUUGAAACGCCCUGCCCCAAAAAUAUUUGCUUUAUUUCGGGAAAUAAUAUUAGUGACAGAUCCAAAUUAAAAUCGUGUUUAGUUGACCACCAUUAAUUUUGAUUUUCUAAUUCAACUCACUAAUCAUUUACAUUAAAUUCAUGACCAACUUUAUUUAAAUUACCAUAAGGUAAAAACUCAAAUUGUUUACCAAAUUCCUUUCUCUCGUACAAAUUCACAACAAUGAAUUUCUUUCGAAUAAUUACCACCUCUCGUGAUUCUUAAUUAUGUCUUAUUUCCAACCAUGAUUCAUAACUAAAAUUUUAAAACCAAACUUACUAAUUUAUUCUCACUUUGUCACCAUUUCGUUUUAUAGAUCACUUCCCAUUCUAAAAAUUAUUGCACGAAUUAUUUAAGGCUGCAUCUAAUACUGUUAGACUGCCUACGUACCCUUGAGUGGGAUCAAGCCUUUUGUAGUUCACAUUCCACAACCUAGUUCAUUAACUUUGACACUUUAGUGACUAACAAUCACAAAUUCGGUCCAAACAAUUGAAUCAUACCAUAUGCAUAUUAAAUAUGGAUUCAGAACAUUUGAAAGCAUGAAAAAGGCAGAGUCAGCCCACUGGCCACGCGCCGCUGCAUGCGCCGCCGUGGGUAAUGGUCGGCCACCCUGACUUGCCGAAAAAUUCAACUAUUUCCAAAAAUUACCAAAUUUUACAGAGUUGUAGAUCUCAAUGAGUGGAACAACUUUCAUACAUAUGGCCAAGUCCAAUUUGGCCGGAAAAAGCUCCCAUUUCACCAAAACCCUCCGGAAACCCUAGAAUAGGUAUGCUUUGAUCCAUCACCUCUGGUGAUCCGCCGCCCCUAUAGUUGUUUGGGCUUUGUUCUAAGCCUUAAGGGAAGUCUAGUAAUGGUGGUAAUUGGAGGGAAACAUGUCACAUCCCGGCCCGGGGUCCACCACAUCCCUGGCCCACUCCACCACCGUAGCACGAUAUUGUCCGCUUUGGGCCCCGACUACGCCCUCACGGUUUUGUUUUUGGGAAUUCACACGAGAACUUCCCAGUGGGUCACCCAUCAUGGGACUGCUCUCGUGCGUUACUCGCUUAACUUUGGAAUUCCUACGGAACCCGAAGCCAAUGAGCUCCCAAAAAGCCUCGUGUUAGGUAGGGAUGGGAAUAUACAUUUAAGGAUCAUUCCCCUAGGUGAUGUGGGAUCUUACAAUCCACCCCCCUUAGGGGCCCGACGUCCUCGUCGGCACACCACAGCCAAGGUUAGGCUCUGAUACCAAAUUGUCACAUCCUGGCCCGGGGUCUACCACAUCCCGGGCCCGCUUCACCACCGUAGCACGAUAUUGUCCGCUUUGGGCCCCGACUACACCCUCACGAUUUUGUUUUUGGAAACUCACACGAGAACUUCCCUGUGGGUCACCCAUCAUGGGACUGCUCUCGUGCGCUACUCGCUUAACUUCAGAGUUUAUACGGAACCCGAAGCCAGUGAGCUCCCAAAAAGCCUCGUGCUAGGUAGGGAUGAAAAUAUACAUUUAAGGAUCACUCCCUUAGGUGAUGUGGGAUCUUACAAAACCUUUCACAAUUAGUGGAAUUUGAGCAAGGAUUCCCGCGGCACCCAUGGUGCGGGUUUCCCAAUUCCAAGGACAAAUUCCCACCAAUUUGGGGUGAGAUAGGUAGAAGGGAUGAUGAGGGAUGAUUUCCAGGUGGUGGGGGACUUUAAAUCGCUGGAAAUUGGCCGAGAAACCACCGGUUUUCAUGACCCCCCCUCCGCGGUUUGAGUCACACGGGUCAAUAGACCCGUUUCCCCUCUUUCUUUUCUUUUUUUCUUUCUUUUCUUCUCUCAUUUCCCUUCUUGUUCUCCCACCCCCCCCUCAUUGGGUAGCCCUUCCCUCUUUUUCUCUCAUUUCUUCCUUCAUCUCCUUCGUCCAUUCACUUCCAUUCUCAUUCUCAGCCACACACGUGGCUCAUCCCAUUACUCCAAAUUUUAUGGAGCCUUCCAAUAAAUGGUAAAAGGUCUAUUUUGCCCUCCACUUCACUCUUUAAUAACUCCUUCGUUAUAACUCAAUUUCACGAACGAUUUGCGCCUAUGCAUUUGUGAGGUCGAGCUCUAUACAAAAAUAUAAAUUGUGACCUUGAACGGUCUACGGAUUUUAAAUAAUUAAUUUUCAAACUUCAAACUUCUUAACUAGUUUAAUUUAAAACUAAACUCAAAUGAAUUAAUAUAAAUUCUCAAUUCUUUUCACAUAUUCAUAAUUAUGAAUAUCCAAUUCAUAUAUUUAAAUUUUUCAGGGUAUUACAUGUAUCUUUUACAUAUCUUUCACUAUUUUAAUUUUGUAUAUAUGAACUUCUUGUUGACUUUGUCUUCCAAGUGAUAUCUCAAUGUGAUAUUGGCUAAAUAUCAAAGUGGGAAUUUUUAUUGUUUGUGUAAAUCACAUAGCUUGUAGAUAGUGGCGGAUUCAGAAUUCGAACUUUGGGGAUUCACAAUGUUAAGUACCAGUUUUUUAAUAGAACUAGAAUUUUAAAAAGAAAAAUGGGAUCAAAAUUGACUUUCAGGGGCAUGGUUAUAAAUUCUUAAUACAUAUAUAGCAAGAACCAGGGGUGGGUUCAAAAAACCGAAAACCGAAAAAAAACAAGACCAAUGUGACAACCCGUUCCUACAUUUACAAUUUUAUAAAUUUUAAAAACGCGAUGUGACAAAAAUGCCCUUAGAGGCAAGGUUUGUGACUUUCGCUGACCUUUGGUUAAAGAGAUGUAGGACCUACUCUUUUAGCGUAUCCUUGUAGUUCUCGAUAGUACAAACGCGUAGGCGCGAGCGAAUUUUAGUUUGGAGCUAAAAUGAAGAUUUUAUGAAACUACGAAGCUUGAGGGAUAUUUAAAUAUUGUACAUUUUAUCUGUGUUUGUGGGACCCAUCUCUGCUGUCCCCUCUCCCAUUUGGCCGCGUGUCCUACUUUUGCCCUCAACUCUCUAUCACUCUCAUAUCUCGUCUCUCUCUCCCAAGUACUUUCCCUUUCACUCUCAAACUUCCCUCUUCUCGAGCCCUCUCACACCCACACACCGGCACACCCUCAGGGAUACCCCAUCGACAUCUCAGUGCCACCAUCAUCACCAGUGUGACUGCUAUCCUUCCUCCUCCUCUGUGAAGCUCAAGAGAACCCGACGAUGUCAUGGUGAACCUCAGGGUUUUCGAGUCAAGAUUCGGUCUAAUCCGGCCGUCUCACGGCGAGUUCUGGGUAAGGGGACUCUUUUUUUUGUCCCACUCUUCGAUUUGGUAAUGAAAUCGAGUUCUUGGGUCAAUGAUCGGUGACGAUGGGAGCUCUCCGAGCUCCGGCCUUCUUCCCUAAUGAAUAAAUGGGCCUUCGAGCCCAAACCCAAAAGUCAAGCCCUUUGGGCCGUGCCAAACCCAGGCUUUAGGCCCACUACCCUUAAAACCCAACCCAUAUAGUUUUAUUUUUAUUUAGUUAUUUUUCUUUCUGAAACCCAAAACAAUUGGGCUGAGUUUUCAAGCCCAAGGCCUUGACCUAAAACCCUUUCAGUCUCAGGCCUUUGAGAUGUGUGAACUUGGGCUUAAGCCCAGAUGACACAAGCCCAAAACCUUAGCAGGCUAAAGCCCUGGACCCAAAUAAGCCCAAACCCAUUUGGGCCCAACCCUGUCCGACCCAAACCCUAGACCUGGGUUGACCCGGUUUGAUCUGUGACUUGUUGACUGACAUGGUCAAUGAUGACCGUUGACCGUUGACUUUGACCAGUCAACAUUGACUGUUGACUUUUUGAGUUGACUUUUUUCGGGUUUUCAUCUGAUACCCCUCCUAGGCUCAUUCAAACGUCAGUUUACCAAAUUCAAUCGUUUAGAUAGAGUUUUAUUAAUUGGACCAUUUAUGUGCUUAGGUGCAAUUACUAUCGGAGAUUCUAGCUUCCUAGCUUGAACGGAUGUGACUUCACAAGUAUCUAUGAGUGGGCAGUUUGUUUUUAUACCUAUAUAUAUAUUAUAGUUUCCCUGAAUGCGUAUUUACUUCAUUUUACGCUUAUAUGCCAAGUAUCAUUAUUGUGAUGUUAAAUGUGAUAAAUGCUACUAUAUGGUUGGGAUAUUACUAUCAUGACAUUCAUAUAUAUUGUACUUGCUCAUCAUUGUUGCACCAGUGUUAGUACUCGCCCCAGGGCCAGGGCUAGUCUUUCACGUGUAUGUUCACAUCACACCGCAUGCUCGCCUUGGAUCCAAUCUAGGUGAUAGUCCUGUCAUAUAUUGCAUUAGGCAAUUCCGACUCGUAUGUGACGCACCUCGGCGCCAGCCUUCACGUGAUCGUAGUACUAGAGCGUAUAGAUUACACCUAGUCCUGUUCGUGGCAAAAAUUAUUUGUACGAACUCGUGUGCUAGUGUAGAUGGAUGAGCACUUAGUUAUACUUGAUUAUCACAUUAUUAUAUUACUAUGGCAUUUGAUAUAUCAUGACUUGGCAUAUUUUUGGUUAUAUUACUGUUGUACUGUUGUUUACAUACUUACGUAAUAUGUUUUAAGGAAACUAUACUUGUUUAACAGCAAGGGGUUACUAUCUUCGAAAGUAAAGGUUUUUACAAAACGUUGUUUUGCUAACCCACUCAACUUUGUUUUUCACCCAUCCAGGUUUAGUAGUUGUGCUUACGUGUAAACGAGGACUAUGGCAAGAUAUCUUUAGUGGUAUAACCCUCACCCUAAUUACUGUACUGUUCUUAUGCUCUAUCAUCAUGUGUGAAAUGGGUUCAAUCCCGCUCACCCACGCACUUUUUUGAUUAGGCACUUUUAGGUUUAAAUUUAUUCACUUUUUCCACAUCACUACACUUUAUGGCUCCAUCACCUUCCAGGUGUCAGCGAGCAUAACUUGAUUCAGAGUCCAAGUGGACAUUUCGGGUUGGGGUGUGUCAACCAAACACCGAACCGAAACCAAAAAUCGAAAAAAAUUUGAAUCAAGAAAGGAAAAACCAAACUGAACCGAACUUUAUUGGUCCGGUUUCAGUUUUGGAGGUUCGAAAACCGAACCAAACCGAAUCCCUUUACACGUUAUGGAUGUAUGCCCAUAAUGUUUCUUUUGUGAAACUUUGUUGCCAAGUUUGAAACUAAGCAUAUGACGUUUUCAAGGAGCAUACUUGGUAAUUAUGGUGGAUAUUUCAUUGGUUAUAGAGGAAAGUUUUGGAAGGCUUUGGAACUUAAAAGAGCUUCUAUAUUGGUUUGGUUUUUGAAUGGAUAUGGUGAUCAUUUUUCUUUGCAAUUGAGGUUGUUGAUAAAAUAUGAUUGGUUUAUAUGAUCUUGUAUAUGUACAACUACCUUCCCACUUUUCCCAUUUUCUUAUUAUUAGUCUACUAAUGCAAAAUCUCUUUUCUAAAUUCCAUAUUAAAAAAGAUCAAGUUUUAUAAUAAAAAAAAAAAAAAGAGAACCCAUAUCGAAACCGAGCAGAACAAAACUAAAUCGAAAAAAAUUGAACCGAAACGAACCAAAGUUUUGAUUCGGUUUCAGUUUUAGCAAUAAACCGACCCAUCCCUAGCAAGAACUGCACGCUCUAAAUGACCUAAUGAGAAUGGGCCCAAAAGGAAACCCAGCCCAUAAUAAUCAUGCCUAACAACCCAUUAGAAAAUGUAAUAGGCCCAAUAACCUAGAGUCCAGCCAGUCUUCUCCACCUUGCAAUAGCUCUCAACCUUGAUAAACGAAUAAUGCUACAAUUAUCAUCUAUUUGUAUCAUCUCUCGAAUAGAUGUAGAACCCACCAACACAUGUAGGUCCCUUCUUAGUAAGAGAGAUGGUGUUAAACCCCACCCCCAUAUUUUCAUCCUAUUUCUAUUUUUCCCCUAGAACAUAUUUGUUAUCUAUCAAUUUAGUCCCUUAUUCUCUUUUAAUCCUAACCCUUGAUCUAGAAAUGCUAUUGUCCUUAAACUGCCAUGUGGCAGUUCUCAGAUCCCUCUUUCCUUCCAUCUCUUCCCGAAACACAUCUCAGAACCUCUCUCUCUUUUUAUGUUUCUUCUCUCUCUCUCUAACUCUCAAAAACUCUCACACUCUCUAAGCUCCAAGAGCUUCUCUCUAACUUUCACCUCACUUCCUUCACAAAUCAAACCCCAAAACCAUAUAUUUGGAAUCCUUGAGACUUAACGAACUCAACGAUACCCUUGCAUGCGUCAUCAGAGCACCGUGGGUUUUUCUGCCAUUGAAGCCGAGAGCUUCAAAGCUCUAAAACUCGAACCCAGGUGAGAAUGGUGUUCCUUCUUCAAAUUUCUGGGUUGUGCAUGUUGGUUUUAUGGCAAAACUCAAGGGUUUUGAUCUCAAUUUUUCUCUAUGCUAAUAAUCUAGCUCCGACGACGAACUCCGGCGAGUUCGAGGUCCAUUUCUUCCCAAAACCUGCUGCAGUGCAUCCAGGUGAGUUCUUAGGUAUAUUUGUGAAGUUUUAGAACCCUUUAUUCAAGCCGUAACCCUUGCCAUCCCUUGUGCAUGCAUGUCCGGUUCCGACGACGAACUCCGGCGAGUUCGUGAGUGUGUGUUUGUGCAGUGUGUACGGGAUGCAGGUGUGUGUGUGUAUGUGCAGGCGUGUAUGCAUGUUCGUGUGUGUGUGUUUGGUAUGUUUGGUCUGUGCAAGUGUGUGUGUGUGUAAGUAUUUGUGAUGAUGUAUGGUGCAUGUGUGGGCAUAUGCAUGAUGUGCAGGUGUGUGUUUGGGAGCUGCUUGUGUGUGUAUGUAGUGCAUGUAUGUGUGUUGUGGGGGUGAGUGUGUGCCGUGUGUAUGUGUGUGAAUGUACGGUGUGUGUGCAUGUGUGUGGUGUAGUGCAUGCAUGUGUGUGCACGUGUAUGGUGUGUUGCGUGUGUGCGUGUGUAGGCGUGGUUUGUGUAUGUGUAUGUGUAUGUGUAUGUGACGUGAGUGUGUGUGUGUGUUAUAUGUGUAUUGUGCAUUUGUGUACAGUGUUGUGUGUGUGCGUGCAGUGCAUGCUUAUGCAUGCCGUGUGUGUGUGUGAAGUGCAUGCUAAUGCAUGCUCUGUGUGUGUGUGUAUGGUGUGUGCCGUGUGUGUAUAAGUAUGGGGGGUUUAAACCCAAACCACCUCUUGAUCCUAACCUAUCCAAACCCAAAGCCCAUUUCCAUUUCCUAAAAUUCUAUCUUUUGGGCAGUUUAUUAAAUUGUACAUUUUUGUGCUUAGGUAAAGUUGCUAGUGGAGACUUCCUUAAUCAUUUUCCGCACAAUUCUGCUGCUUCGGAGUAUCUGUGAGUGGACCACCUUCAAAAAUUGCAUGUUUUAUUUAUAGAAUUGCAUAUAUAAAUAGCAUGCCUUGCAGAUUGACUGAUUUGAGGAAUAAUUUACAGGAAGCAUGAUGAUUUGAUUAUGAUUGAUUAUAUACAUAUUUUGAAUUAUUUUCAUUAUAUUGUAUUUUCUUCAGAACCCUCAUUCUGGUAGACUAUCUGAUCGAUGACGAUAGGAUGCUAAGAAUGUUGUUUCAAAUGAUUUUUGAACACCUCUUCGUAGUAUAGAGGAUCGAUGAAUUUAUGCUACGAAGUUGUAUUUUAGAGAUGAAUUAUGUUUUGUGUGUACCGAAUGAACACUAUGCCGCUUGGGGCGAGGAUCUGGUAUUGGCAUUAAGGCCGGGAGAAAUAAUCCCUAGCGAAAUGCUGAAGGACACGGAGACAGGCAUUGGGCCGGGAGGGAGAUAUCUCUGGCUACGGGCACAGAGACUGAGGUGCAGGCAUUGGGCCGGGAGUAUUAUUAUUCAGUGCACUCACUAGCAGCACAACUUGUGAUAUGCUUCCUGAUAUGAUUUCUGAGAUUGAUUUGCAGAAUGAGAUUGAUUUGCAGAUAGAUAUAUGAUUUGUUUUUAUGGCAUGCUAGAGGUUUUGAGAAACCUAUCACUUAUUAUUUAGUAGUUUUCAUCAUAUUAAUUGUGGGGGUUAGUAUGUUCAUAACUGUUUUCGUAUUAUGUAUGUAUAUAAACUUGGUCCACUCACCCUUGUUUUACGCC